rnacentral:lncRNA from 1 species
UAGCAAUGUAGUAGAAGAGAGAGACCAAGGUCAGGUCAUGAACAAGAUAGGAGAAUGAGCGGAGGAGUGAUCUCUUAAAGCAGUGAGGUGGAAUGGCUUUCCUGAUAUCACUGAUGGUGAAGGGAGGCUUCGAGUAUGGGGCUCUAGCGAUGAGGUUGUUGGAGCUGACGUGCAGCCUUCGGCUCCCAUUGUUGAUACAGUGCCUGUGUGCUUCAUAACCGAAAACGGACAAUGUGGAUAAUUAUAUAGCAGAGAAGCUUAAAAGGAAUGAUUACAUACUUUUUACAAAUAGUCUUUGCUUGAAAUGGAAGUGUAAUUGAUACAGUUUUGAACUAAUUAUUACAAUCAAAGUCCCGUGUAUUCAUAAGCAGAUCACUUCAAUUCUCUUUGUGCAAACGAAUAUCAAGACGAUUAGUUAUUAGAUAGAUUCAUGGGGAUAUGAUCAAGGAAACCUAGUAACCACGUAGAUUUAUUGAAAGUUUUAGGGAAAAUUUUCACGUGACUAAAAGAAUAGAUUCUGAGACAGAGUAUAGUGUUUAAUCAGGAUAUUAAUCCUUUAUUUUAUUUUGAUCUUUGUAACUUCUCUGUUCCUUAUCUAUGCCACCACCCCCCAAACCAUAAAAAAAAAAAAAUCUUUAAGUGAGAACAUAUUCCAAUCUGUGUAGAUACUUAGAUCAGUACGUGGAAAGAAUUCGUUGAUUGUUGUUUGACAAGUACAGGAAAGGGUGAGUAUUGAUGCAACAUUCAAAAAUAUCAGAAUUGAGUUCUUUAAUGCAUGUGCACUAAUUCACAACGCAUAUACACCAGAAUUUAGUUAAUGGUUGGAAUUCAUCUUCUGGUGCACUCAAAGUAUAAAUAUGUUCGAAAGUUUCAGUUUUAUACUGAAUGUUUGAAAAGUAUUUGAAUGUAUCAUUCUCAGUGUGUGAGCUAUUAAAAAGUAUUCUAACGUAUCACUUCUAUGUAUUUAAUCAGUUUUGGGGAUUCAAACACUUAGAUUUGGAUGUUUAUCCACUUCGUAAGACUGCAAGGAACCUUGGCGCUUUUCCUAAUUAUAUCCCAAUGUGUGAGCCUUACUAAGUUUCCUAUUUAGUAAUUUUAAUAAAAGUCAUUUGUGAGGUUAUAUAUUUUUAUUUUUUUAACCCUUCCUUCACGGCGCCGCCCCCGGCCUCUCCUGACCAGCAGGCGGGGGCAAAGUCCUUUGGCCAUCAGCCCCCUGGAGAUUAUACAAGCAGGCACAGUAUUAUUUCAAAUAAUUGGGAUUGACAAUUCUUGAGGAGGGUGGCCCAACAUGAUUGGUUAUUUUUGUUACUGUCAUGUCAUGCCUACAAAUCACCACUGGUAAGAGUGUUAUUUAAGUGGACACAAUUAAUCCAUGAAUUGAUUAUAGCCAAAAAAAAAAAAAAAUAGUCAUGGGUAAAAGAAAUCUGUGGAACUUUUGAUAGUCUAUAUCAGAAAGUGGUCUUAUUUCUUGGGGAGUAGGUUUUGCAGGAACAAACAACGCUACUUCUUUGUUUCUCACUAAAAAUUGCAUUGCCAUUCCUGUUUUUUCUUUCUAGCCAACUGGUAAGUGGGUUUUGUGGGCUGACCACUGGGGCCGGGGAGUUUCAAAAUAAUUGAAACUUUUGUAGGUUUGGUACCUGCUCAGUCUUGUCAUGUCUUCUCAUAUUCAUACAAUUUUCGAGUGACAGAAGGAAAAUGUGCGCUCUGAAUCCUCAUCCCAUUUCCGAUUUCAGUCUCUGUCUUGCCUUUAUUUGUCAUGCCUAAGUUUAUUACCCGGUAUAUCCAUUAUAUUCCAAAAUAGAGUUGCAAGAAAAAUUAAACAUGAUAAAAAAAAUCAAGAUUGAGAUUAAAACAAAAAAUUGAACAAUAGAAAAGUGGGGUAACAACUGAAACCAGAAAUGAGAUAGAGGAUUCAAAAAUAGAAAAUGGCGCCUACCUAUUAAUAGUUCUACAUGAGGACUAUGUGCCAAGAAUUUCAGCCUAUAGCACGGGACUAGGCAACAGAACCUAACAGUAUUGAUAAUUCACGAUCAUGGCUGGCUGAAAUAUUUACCAUUAAACGCGUUUUCAUGUAAUCUUACAAAUAGUAUAUAUGUUUUGGCGCGAUUAAAGUGUAUAUGCCCUAAAAUCAAUCAACUUCUAAAGUUUAAUACGCACUUGAAUUAUUUAUGUUAUAAUAAAUUACAUCUUUAUCAUAUUGAUUGCAAAUAUAUUUAUAUUUGCAUGAUAAACCUCUUAAAAUAAACCUGUCGAUGAAAUCAUAAAAUUUAUGAUGGUGAGAUUCAUUCGAUUAUAAAUAAAGUUUAUUUUUAAAUAUUUCUAGUUAAAGUAUUACCAAGAAAGGGUAUUGUUAAUACAAUUAGACUAGCAUAUACUAUACCACUUCUAUAAGAAAAGUAGUAUACCUCAUCUACUAUGGUGUGCGAGACACCUAAACUAGUAUAUGGAUGCUUGAUACAAUGAUUAAUUUUACUAAAUUGAUCCGUAUAGAGAUAUUCUUUAAGUGGCAAAGGAUUAAUUUUUAAGUAACGUUUGUGUAAGUGAUCUGACGUGCGCAGGGUAUACAUAUCAAUUUUGCCUCAUUCUAAUCAAGUUUUACAUUUAUAAACUCCUAAAUACCCCACACGCGAUUUAUCGCAAGUAUACGAAUCGUGAGCGAGUAUAGGGUAUUAAGGGUCGAUCCCACAAGGAAGAUUGCAAUUACCGGUACUACUAAAGCUUCUCUAUUAUUUAGACUAUCAAUGAAUUAUAACAAAUUAAACCUACUGAAAUUAUACAAAAUAACAAAUGAAAGCUCCUUGGGUUGUGGUAUCCCUAACUACUCAUGCAAGUGCUAUAUUUGGAUCAUUGAAUACUACAUCUAGGCUAAUUAUGGUGUAAUUUCCUUAUGCAUUUGAAUCCUACUUUCGUAUUGAAUCAAUUAUACUCAUAACUAAUCCAUACCUAUUUUCAUGGUUAUGAAAUUAGCUACAAGUUCAUUUCUUCAAUGAAAUUACAUGAAAUGAAUCACUAAAAACCACAUAAGUGCACCUCUACUUUCGUGAGUGUACUCCCUAUGUUUAGCACUUCUUGAACUAGUGUUAAAUCUCAAUUUUCAUUGCAGAAACAACACCUUAGAUAAUCACAAUUAAUGGUACCAGAUUAAUCAUGAUUUCAAGAGCUAAAGUGCUAAAUAACUUGCUCAAAUCAUAGCAGUCAAAUAACCAAAUAAUAAACACUAACAAUUAUAGAAAGUUCAACCAAACCCAAGGUAUAAACUUUAGAAACACAUAUUGAACACAAAAUCCAGAACUUGUAUAUUAACUAAAUUUGGAAUCAAAUACAAAAGAUAAAGAGUUUGGAAGGAAUACAACCCUUGUCACAUGAGCUUUCUUCCUUGUCUUCUUCAUCCUCCAUCUUCAUCCUAAUCUAGAUAAUUAACAAGAAUGGAAAAGCUACACUACUCUAUACUAAGCUAAACUAACACUAGGGAGAUGAAAGAGCUACAUUUCUGCAACUUCAAGCUUCUCCCGUAUGUCUCUCUAUUUUUCUGCUAUGAACUCCCCAAUCCCUAUUUUUGCAAUGCAUUUGGCUAUUUAAUGAUGAAAGGUGGUCAAGAAAUGAGGAUUACAUCUCCCUUUUACAGCUGGGAAUGUUUCUCACAUGUCUAGCAUCCAAUGUGAGUUGGUGGAGGUGAAAUUGAGUUUUACGCGUACAGAGCAGCCUUUUCUGACCAGUGAUCCGAGCUGCUACAGUACCUCGGAUCCACUAACCCAGAAACAACCGAGGGUUCGGAUGAAUAGUGGAUCCGAGUGUGGAUCACUUGCUCUGUUUUUGGCCCAACUUCAACCAAUCUUUUCUUGAUGUUAGAGGCUGAACCAGCUCAUGUCUAAAACACGAAAGUUGUAGCCUUUUGAGUUAUCUUUCUAAUGCAUCAAGAAUCACCUCAUUUGGAUCUGUGUAGGCUGACAUAUGACUGAAAUACCCUUGCCUGCUCAUUGCCCUGUUCCAGUUUCGACCAGUAGAAAUUUGCUAUUGUAAUUCGGCAUUUUGACCUGGAAAACCUUCAAACUGGAUUUAGAUGUCUUCACCAAAGUUGUAGAUCUAUCUCUUAUCUUCAAAUGGGUUCAAGAAUCAUCCCAAUCUGAUCAUUGUAACUCAAGUUAUAGCCGAAAUACGAAAAUGUGUCAAAACUGUCAAAAUACACAAAAUCCAAGUAAAAAGUGAUAAAAACCUCAUUUAAUCACUUAAAAGCAUUUUUCACCAAUUAUAGCCAAAAUGAUUCAUAUUCUUCCAAUAAUAUAACCAAAGUGACUAAAAAUAAUAUAAAAUGUCAUACAAUUAUUACGUAAAUUAGUCACUUAUCAUGAUCCUUAGACUUAAGGUUAUCAUGGUAUUUUGAGUAUGGACAGAUACACUUUGUUUUUUAUAUGAUGCUCAUAUCAUUAACAAAUGGGUAUGUACUUGAAGUAUGAAAAGGUAGUGAAUAACGAAUAACCUAUAAAGAUUUACCAUUUCUUAUAAAAAGAGAAGGUAUCUCAUGUCUGACUGCUUGUAAAGUAUAACUCGGAAUUCUUAGCGUUAAGUGGAAGAUUCUUAGAGUGUGUUUCUAAGUACUUCUUCAUUGGAGUUAUAAUUUGGUACAAGAAAUAAGCAUUAAUCAAAUCAUGGAAUGGGCAUAAAUUAUUCCAAGAUUAAUGUGAAAUAAAUGUGGUAAAAAGAUAUUAAUUAUAUAGUAAAUAUUUACUGAAAGGUGAAGUCAUCCACUUGACUUUUCUCAUUACUUGGGUGGCCAUGAUACAUUGUUAGAUGCCAAUCUUGAUCUAUAAGUAUGAGUUGAUUGAUUAAUGGAAUGGGCAUACCUUAUUCCAAGAUUAAUGUGAAAUAAGUGUAGUAAAAGGAUAUUAAUUACAUGGUAAUUGUCCACUAAAAGGUAAAGUCAUCCACUUAACUUUUCUCAUUACUUGGGUGGACAUGAUGCAUUGUUAGAUGCUAAUCUUAAUCUAUAAGUAUGAGCUGAUUGAUUAGUGGAAUCAAUAGUGAAUUAAAAGAAAUUUUAAUUUAUCUAAUUAUGGGACAGAGUAUAGUAUUUAAUCAUGAUAUUAAUCCUUUCUUUUAUUUUGAUCUUUGAAACUUCUCUGUUCCUUAUAUAUUCCACCACCCCCCUAAACCCAAAAAAAAAAAAAAGAACUUUAACGUAGAUGUGCAAUCCUAUCCCUAGGUGCCGCUAAAGUUCUCCUCAAUCUUCUAUCUUAAAACUUCUUUUGCGCAUCUGAUCCUCAACCCCCUUAAGGAGUCUUCUUACUGGAUCUCACCCUAAAAAUUUGACACAGGUAACAACUCAUGUGAUUUUAUUAACUCAAUCCUAUCCUGAAACCUAUUUGGCCAUUCCCUUCUCUUGAAUAUUAUGAAACCCAGUCAAUGUAUCAAUGAUCCAACCAACGAGAAAUCACAUCAAACAAAAAUCUAUAAACCAUAAAUCCAUAAUUAGAAUUAUUCUCAACUCUCUCAACAUCUGAUGUUUUCCAUUACUCUUUACACCUUUUGUUUUAUAUUUGAAUAUCUGUGAUUGACUUGGAAUUCCAGAAAAUUCACUCUCAAAUAAUUGUGAUUUAUUUGACUUGGAAUUCUAAAAAAUCACUACUCCUAUAAUGAAAAAAAAAAUUGUUUGCAGAUAUCAAAUUUUUAGGGUGAGGCCCGAUAAGGAGCUCCUUCACGGGGCUGAGGAUCAUACGCGCUUCUUCUGGUGCAAAGACUGUCAUCCAUGAAGGGCCAUUUUAAGGAGCCUUCUUCCAUCAAAAACUAAAGGACCAUAUAUACCUAGAGGGGUCAGGGACUACCAAUAUUAAGGCUGUGAGAUAAUGUAGCAGGAACUCCACUGAUCAUGUUUGUUAUGGGCAUCUAAGAAGUCAACUGCACAUCAAGGGAUAUACUACAAGAAUAGACCUAACUGAAGUUUUUCUUUCCUAUGGGACAAAUCUUAGCACAUCAAAGACUAAGCAAUGAGCAUACACUUCAAAUUCUUUUCAUUUUAUCCUGGAGAAAAACAAGCUCAUUCUUUCUAGCUCAUGACAGUGCAAAUGAGAAGAUUUCUAUUGUCUGGCCUAAUAAUUAUUGUGCAAUGAAAAUGCAAUAGAAGCAUAUUCUCCAUGGUGGCAGUGACCUAUGGCAACCAAGAUGUCCAAAGCAAUCCACUAAGCAAGCUUAUGCUUUCUGGUUGUUGCUUAACAAUCUCAUCCUAGAGCAAAGAAAAUACAUGUCAAAGUCUUGGAUGUUUUGGAGAAGUCUUUAGAUCGAUGACGCCCGUCAUACGUCAGCGUCAAGAAUAAAAAGUUUUCUUCUAUAAUUACUGUAUUUGAACAAAUGCAGAACGAGAAUAAUUGCCCUUUGGAUAGGUGCAUGAUGACCUCACGUUUCGGAUGAAUUUUAUUUGAUGUGACCAUGAUGACAUAUCCAUAAGAAAAACAAAUAAAAUUAGGAUUAAUCUUUCUUACACUAACAGUGUAUACACUAUUAGCGUUGGAUGAAUGAUAACACAAACUUUGAAUUUGAAAUUUAAUUUUUGCACACAUGUCAUGAAUCAAAUGAUGAUAGUAAUAUACUGUCAGCGUAUAUAAGAUUUAUUCAUAAAAUUAAGGGUCUUCGUCAAAUAUUAAAAACCAAUUUUAAUACCAUAUAGAGUUCAUGCAAGAACUCAACGAAGAGUUAAAUAAUUUACAAAAAUUUAAUACGAUGACUAAUGAUACAAUCAAUUCUAACAUCAAAUCAGAUAGAGAACCGGUGCAGGCUGCCUGCAGUGACUAUAAAAGUCAAAAUCUUUAACUUACUUGAACUUCACACUCUUUAAUCCGAAACAACUCGUUCAUCUAUGCAAGUAUUCUAUCCUUCAUAAUUUCACUUGGAAUUUGGACCAUUAAGUGAGAACAUAUUCCAAUCUGUGCGGAUACCUUAGCGCACAAAGUGGAAAGAAUUCGUUGAUUGUUGUUUGAAAAGUACAGGAAAGGGUGAGUAUUGAUGCAACAUUCAAAAAUAUCAGAAUUAAAUUCUUUAAUGCAUGUGCACUAAUUCAAAACGCACAUAAAACAGAAUUUAGUUAAUUGGAAUUCAUCUUCUUAUGCACUCAAAGUAUAAAUAUGUUUGAAAUUUUCAAUUUUAUAUUGAAUGUUUUAACUACUAAAAAGUAUUUGAAUGUAUCCGUCUCAGUGUGUGAGUGUGACGGCCCCACCUCACCCUAAGGCGAACCAAAGGGUUCGGCGGACCGCCUGCCCAGCUCUCGCCAGGACUACGAAGUUGAAAUCACACAAACCCGAUAUAGCGCACAAACAAAUCCCCAAGAGAACAAUCAAUCGAAGACUACUAAGUUGAAAAACAUGAGUUCUACACCGUAAGGUACCAUGGUGCUUCGAUUAAACGCCUCAACGGAAACGAGAAUGAAGACGAAAAUGCAAAUGGAAAGUGGACACAUCACAAUCCGGCCAAGAUACGGCCGGAUUUGGUGAAUAGUUCCCGCCAUAAUUUUCUUUCCUUGUUCCAAUGCCGCGCUCGUCCGAUCGUCCAAUAGUUACAAGUAGCAUCUCAACAAACGCAAAGGUACCAACUCAAAUGAAUACACUUAAUGUACAUGAUAAAACACUUAUAUACAUACAUUGAAAACUUUACAAUUAAAAGCGUAAUACUUAAUUAAAAGACAAUUAGGUUUUGAUUACACAAGAGCUAACAAAAGAACGUUUACACUAGCUCAACCCUUUUCUCAAAAUCACGGUUCAAAGUGUGGUUCCCUAUAAGGAAAAUAAAGAUAACGGAAAGGGGGUGAGCUUAUGCUCAAUGAGGUACCAAAAUAAUAGCAAUUAAGAAUUAUGAAACUUCAUAUUCAAUUAGUCACAUAUGCAAAUCAAAGAAAGAAAUGAACAAACACCAUAGAUAGAAAGGAAACGGAUGGCUCUCAGGAGCCCAAAAUUUCCGGUUGCAGUACUUGAUCCAAACCCGUUAACUCUCCGUCAACGUAUGAAGAACAACCAUGUCCGUAGACCCCCACUUUACACUAAAUUUCAUCCACCAAACUUACCCCUUACCGGGCCCGAACACCUCAACAGAAACAGAAGUGGUAAUACUCGAGUAUACCGGAAUCAAGGGUUUCAAUACCCAAAGAUUCCUAGAAACAGACUACCGUGGUUCGUUAUCUAAUCGACAUGGCCCUUGCCGGCUCGAUUUGAGUAACUUAGCCAUAAGAUUUGAGCUCAGAGGUCACAGAAAGGUCGUUGGAUACAAGCCUCCAAAUGACGUCAGAACAGAUACAGAUACAGAUAACAGAUUCAACCUCACACAGUAAAUAGGCAUACAAACAGACAAGAGAACGAGUGUGAUAAAGUACACCCUCGUCUCAAACAGAAUAAACAGAUAGUACAGUCAUUCAAAUCACAGAUGGCAAGUACAGAAACCAAGUUAAGCAACAAUGAAGGGAGUGGUACACUCACCAGUUCAAGUAAAACAAAUUCAAACGUUCCCCCCCGAAGUAGCACUUCCUAAAAUGAUCAAAGUAAAACAAUUAUGAUUCCUAUGGGAACGAUAUUCACAAAUGAAACUCAACUAUGAGUCGUAUGCUUAACCAAACGAACUACGAAUGCAAGGGUGCAAAAGUGUGAUUUUGGAACGAAAAGGUAACGAGAGAACCUAAGGUUUGAACGACCCAAAAGCCCUUCAUUUCUACCAAAAAGGCAACUUAAACUUAAAGGGACCAAAUGGCCUAGAAAAUUGGACAGCAUCUCCCCUAAAUUUGCUUACUUUUCUAUCCUACAAUCAACACCAACUCACCUCAAAUCAACCACAAAUCUACAUACAAAUCAUAAACACACCUUUUGGCAUAACAACCACAAUUGAAGCUACACUUAUCGGAUUGAAACGAAUUUUAUAGCGUUUCGAAGCCAAGACAUAUAUCUACAUUUAUUAUGAAGACCUCCAAAGCUAAAUCAUGCAUUUUCAUGGUGAAAAAUAGAAAUCUCCACGAAAAUAGAAAUCUGUCCGCGAAACAGGGCUCAUGAGCAGUCAAGGGUAUUUCGAUCAUUUCAUAUGCUACAGUACUUAGAUCGAGCUGAAAUUUUGCAGGAAGCUAGAUAACACCAUUUUCUACAACUUUCAUGUUUUAACCUAAGCCUGAUUCAGCCUCUAACAUCCACAAAUAAAGCCGGUCAGAACAGGGCAGAUUGGAACCCUAAAACUGAAAUUUCCACACAAAACUGAAAUUUUCCGCAAAUAACCACAAUUAACGCACAAGGGAUCCAUUUAACACCAUUUAGAGCCAUCAAUUCAAGACCAACUAUAACCAUCAUAUGAAAACAGAAAAAUCCCCAAAAAAAGUCAGAAAUUAGCUAACUCCACUUUAAUCCAUGAAAUCUUCCAUAAAAUAACCUAGUUAACUACCAUAAGUCACUAAUUUACCAUAAUUAGGAACAAAGAGUGAGUUUCCAAGCAAAAUACCUUAACUCCUCAAGAAAGGUAGUAGCUUAGGGGUUUUUCCUCCAAAACAACUCCACCAAGACCUUCAAACUCCCUUAGCAAGUCACUUUGGUGGACAAAUUCAAGAUUUAAUCGGUUGAAUUUCGAGAUUUAAGCAAGAAAUGAAAGAAGUAGUUGAAGCUUUCUUUUCUUUUCUCUCAAGGAGAGGUUCGGCCAAGAAGGGUACAAAAUGAAGAUGAUUUGGGUCAAAAUUGAUCUUUUAGUAAAGGUAAGAAAGUUAGGCAAGUCCAACAUCCAAUCGGGUCGCGACACAUGGUACUUUUAAUGGUUCAAGUUUAUCUUCUUUCUUCCAAUGGUUAAUCUAUCUAGCUAACCUCUAAUUAUUUUCUAACACCUAGUAAUUAACUCCCUUUAUGCAAAACUUAACCUAAUUGGCCGAAUUUCUCUCACUGAAUGCACUAGCGGGUCCCAUGCCUAUAAUACACUUCAAACUUAACGUGAACUAACUUAUAUCAGGAAAAUGAUUUAAAAACUCUAUUCACUUAUAAAAUCUCUAGGAAAAUCAAUAUCAUAGGGUAUAGUGAGGAAAAUGCAUGAGAGACAAUAAAAAAAAUAUAUAUAAAAUAAGAAAAAUUUACGGGUCCUCACACUCUCUCCCCCUUAAAGAAAUUUCGUCCUCGAAAUUUCCUUCUCAACGGAAUCUAUCAAAAUCUGCAUUAGAUGGCGGAUCAUACCUUCUACGUCCUCAGACGAAUCAGAGACCUGAAGUUGCUCUAGAGAAUUCACUCGAUCCAGUCCUUUUUGCCCUUCGUCUGUCCAGGGUUAGUCUUGAUUGGUUGCUGGGUUCUUUUCCCUUCGCAUAGUACAACUGGGCAGUUAGCAACCCGAUGAUUGGCACCCCCACAACGCAGGCAUUUUCUCCUUCUUUUCCAACAAUUCACCUCAGUAUGAUUGAUUUUUCCACAAUAGCCACAAGAUAGGUGUGGAAUUGAGCUUUGAUCUCUUGGUGAGGCCCCUCUCGGAGUAUCUUCUUUAGGUGACCCCAAAAUUCUCACACCACUAGUUCCUCUACCUACCUUAGCGAGUGGCCUACCUAGAUCACCUUGUUCUUGCCUUUGAAUUUCACUAAGUGCACCCCUUUUCUUUGCAUGGAAGGCCUUCACCUGUGCACCUAAAAUUUCUAUCCUUUGGCUUUUCUCUGGAACUUCCGUCAAGGUAUUAAUUUGUGCCCUUGCUAAAAUCCCUUCGCAUUGCCUUUUCAGUUCUAUGUUCUCGUGCAAUAGCUCAAGUUUCUCCGAGUAUUCAUGUUUCCAUUGCUCUUCCCAGUACUCGGCUAAUCUCUUUUGAACCUCUACUUCGUUUCGAAGAAUCUCGAUUUCCUUAUACCUACCAACCAAGUGUGCCAUCUCGCAGAUUCGGUGGAACUCAAGUGAUAGCCUUAUGCCACAUCUUUAUUUCCAAAAUCUCUCUACCUACUUCCAAAAUUCUCAAUCUCGGUACACUAAUAAUCAAACCAAGUUUAUACGAAAAUAUUAGUGGAUAGGUAUCAAGGAACUAUAGGCAAGAAUAGUUCGUCGAGGACCAAGCUACGGGUAUCCGAUAUCCAAAGUGAGGUAGAGACCUAGAUCAUUGCAGUCAGGUCAUAUCAAAUCAAAUAAACACUUAUCAAGUCCUCACAGUCAUAGUAAAAAAAAAUAGGUCUUAGGUGUGAAUUCCGCAAUAUACUCUACAAUCCAGUCACCCUCUAGAAAACCCUAGCCAGACUAGUAUGAGAUUAGUCCAUGAUAACACGUCCAGAUCCAACCCCCUCGAUCAGGCUAAUUACUAGGUCCAAUAUAAAGAUCUUUCGUGCCUUGUUCUUGGCCAUCAAGACUUACCUCAAAUUCAAUCAAGAUACAGACCCUUAUUCUAGCGCUCUCCACCCUUUGGUACUCAGGUCCAAGAAUCUAAAAUAAGCUAAUUCAUAACUCGAGCCGGCCGGUCCCAAGAGUAAAUCAUCCAUAUUAAAAAUUCUUACCCGACAUACAUAUCUAUCUUCCUCAGGUGUACCAUAUUAAAGAUUUUUACACUUAUAACGUGCACGGUUCAUAACUUAUGCUCAAAAGAGCACUUAUACCUUUAGACACAUUCACGAAAUUAAGACCAUAACACCACUUGGCCCAAUCUCACUCCGCGCAGAGACCACGCGAAGCGGCUCUGAUACCAUCUAUGACGGCUCCACCUCACCUUAAGGCGAACCAAAGGAUUCGGCGGACCGCCUGCCCAACUCUCGCCAGGACUACGGAGUCGAAAUCACACAAACCCGAUAUAGCGCACAAACGAAUCCCCAAGAGAACAAUCAAUCAAAGACUACUAAGUUGAAAAACAAGAGUUCUACACCAUAAGGUACCAUGGUGCUUCGAUUAAAUGCCUCAACGGAAACGAGAAUGAAGACAAAAAUGCAAAUGGAUAGUGGACACAUCACAGUCUGGCCAAGAUACAGCCGGAUUUGGUGAACAGUUCCCGCCAGAAUUUUCUUUCCUUGUUCCAAUGCCGCGCUCGUCCGAUCGUCCAAUGGUUACAAGUAGCAUCUCAACAAAUGGAAAGGUACCAACUCAAAUGAAUACACUUAAUGUACAUGAUAAAACACUUAUAUACAUACAUUGAAAACUUUACAAUUAAAAGUGUGAUACUUAAUUAAAAGACAAUUAGGGUUUUGAUUACACAAGAGCUAACAAAAGAACGUUUACACUAGCUCAACCAUUUUCUCAAAAUCACAGUUCAAAGUGUGGUUCCCUGUAAGGAAAACAAAGAUAAUGGGAAGGGGGUGAGUUUACGCUCAAUGAGGUACCAAAAUAAUAGCAAUUAAGAAUCAUGAAAUUUCAUAUUCAAUUAGUCACAUAUGCAAAUCAAAGAAAGAAAUGAACAAGCACCAUAGAUAGAAAGGAUACGGGUGGUUCUCAAGAGCCCAAAAUUUUCGGUUGCAGUACUUGAUCCAAACCCAUUAACUCUCCGUCAACGUAUGAAGAACAACCAUGUCCGUAGACCCCCACUUUACACUAAAUUUCAUCCACCAAACUUACCCCUUACCGGGCCCGAACACCUCAACAGAAACAGAAGUGGUAAUACUCGAGUAUACCGGAAUCAAGGGUUUCAAUACCCAAAGAUUCCUAGAAACAGACUACCAUGGUUCGUUAUCUAAUCGACAUGGCCCUUGCCGGCUCGAUUUGAGUAACUUAGCCAUAGGAUUUGAGCUCAGAGGUCACAGAAAGGUCGUUGGAUACAAGCCUCCAAAUGACGUCAGAACAGAUACAGAUACAGAUAACAGAUUCAACUUCACACAGUAAAUAGGCAUACAGACAGACAAGAGAACCAGUGUGAAAAAGUACACUUUCGUCUCAAAUAGAAUAAACAGAUAGUACAGUCAUUCAAAUCACAGAUGGCAAGUACAGAAAUCAAGUUAAGCAACAAUGAAGGGAGUGGUACACUCACCAGUUCAAGUAAAACAAAUUCAAACGUUCCCUUCCGAAGUACUUCUUGGAUCACCAGCACAUCCUAAAAUGAUCAAAGUAAAACAAUUAUGGUUCAUAUGGGAACGACAUUCACAAAUGAAACUCAACUAUGAGUCAUAUGCCUAACCAAACGAACUACGAAUGCAAGGGUGCAAAAGCGUGAUUUUGGAAUGAAAAGGUAACGAGAGGACCUAGGGCUUGAACGAUCCAAAAGCCCUUCAUUUCUACUAAAAAGGCAACUCAAACUUAAAGGGACCAAACGGCCUAGAAAAUUGGAAAGCAUCCCCCCCUAAAUUUGCUUACUUUUCUAUCCUACAAUCAACACCAACUCAUCUCAAAUCAACCACAAUUCUACAUACAAGUCAUAAACACAUCUUUCGGCAUAACAACCACAACUGAAGCUACAUUUAUCGGAUUGAAACGAAUUUUAUGGCGUUUAGAAACCAAGCCAUAUAUGUACAUUUCUUAUGAAAACCUCCAAAGCCAAAUCAUGCAUUUUUAUGGUCAAAAAUGAAAAUCUCCAUGAAAACAGAAAUCUGUCCGCGAAACAGGGCUCAUGAGCCAAGGGUAUUUCGAUCAUUUCACAUGCUACAGUGCUCAGAUCGAGCUGAAAUUUUUCAGCCAGCUAGUUAACACCAUUUUCUACAACUUUCAUAUUUUAAUCUAAGCCUGAUUCAGCCUCUAACAUGCACAAAUAAAGCCGGUCAGAACAGGGCAGAUUGGAACCCUAAAACUGAAAUUUCCACACAAAACUGAAAUUUUUCGCAAAUAAUCGUAAUUAACGCACAAGGGAUCCAUUUAACACCAUUUAGAGCCAUCAAUUCAAGGCCAACUAUAACCAUCAUAUGAAAACAGAAAAUCCCCAAAAAAAUCAGAAAUUAGCUAACUCCACUGCAAUCCAUGAAAUCUUCUAUAAAAUAACCUAGUUAGUUACCAUAAGUCACUAAUUUACCAUGAUUAGGAACAAAGAGUGAGUUUCCAAGCAAAAUACCUUAACUCCUCUAGAAAGGUAGUAGCUUAGGGGUUUUUCCUCCAAAACAACUCCACCAAGACCUUCAAACUCCUUAACAAGUCACUUUGGUGGACAAAUUCAAGAUUUAAUCGGUUGGAUUUCGAGAUUUAAGCAAGAAAUGGAAGAAGUAGUUGAAGCUUUCUUUUCUUUUCUCUCAAGGAGAGGUUCGGCCAAGAAGGGUACAAAAUGAAGAUGAUUUGGGUCAAAAUUGAUCUUUUAGUAAAGGUAAGAAAGUUAGGCAAGUCCAACAUCCAAUCGGGUCGCGACACAUGGCACUUUUAAUGGUUCAAGCUUAUCUUCUUUCUUCGAAUGGUUAAUCUAUCUAGCUAAUCUAUAAUUAUUUUCUAACACCUAGUAAUUAACUCCUUUUAUGCAAAACUUAACCUAAUUGGCCGAAUUUCUCUCACUGAACGCACUAGCGGGUCCCACGCCUAUAAUACACUUCAAACUUAAUGUGAACUAACUUAUAUCAGGAAAAUGAUUUAAAAACUCUAUUCACUUAUAAAAUCUCUAGGAAAAUCAAUAUCAUAGGAUAUAGUGAAGAAAAUGCAUGAGAGAUAAUAAAAUAAAAGAAUAUAAAAUAAGAAAAAUUUAUCGGUCCUCACAGUGAGCUAUUAAAAAGUAUUCUAACGUAUCACUUCUAUGUGUGUAAUCAGUUUUGGGGAUUAAAACGCUUAGAUUUGGAUGUUUAUCCACUUCGUAAGACUGCCAGGAACCUUGGUGCUUUUCUUAAUUAUAUCCCACUGUGUGAGCCUUACCAAGUUUUUCAACUGCAGUGGAUCUAUGAUUAUUUAGUAAUUGUAAAAUGAUAAAAGUCAUUUGUAUGGUUAUAUUUUUUUAUUUUUUUAACUCUUCCUCCACAGCCCCCUCUUCUCGACCAGAAUGGGGCUUUGCCCCCAUGCCAUCAGCACCCUGGACACAGUAUUAUUUCAGGAUAAUACUAUAGUGCCGAUCGUUACCAUAACUUGUGAAUAUUUUAAAUUAAAAUACUAGUACAACCGGUUAAUAGUGGUCCCCACAUCCAAGAUUGGUAUAUUUACCGACAAUUGCACUACUAUUGAUUCAUGUUUCCAUUAUUCAAAGUAACAUCAUGUGGUAAUAUGGUAACUUUGGUAAUAAAAUUGUUAAGUUAUAAGUGUGAUAUAAGAUUUUUUCUUUAAAUACUAAAUGUUACUACUUCUCCAACGAAACUUACUACUUUACAAUUAGUAAGUUUAACUCAAAUAAUGCUAAGUUUUUAUUGAAAAAUGAUUACUUUUACAAAUAAAAUGGUAAAUAAGUGAAUUGUUCAAUGACAGGUGUCGAACCUGUACAAUAAUAAAAUUAGAACCUAACUACCACUAAAGGGCAAAGGCAGUCAAUAAUUAAUCCUAGGUACUGGAGUAGGGACUUUAGGUGUGCAAUGGGUUACUUGAUUCACCCUGUUCCUGAAGAGUUUGCUUAAUCCGAUAUACCAGAAUUAAUUAGUUGACAAAAAUUACUAAAUAGUAGAUAAUGGCAAGCAGGGUCGUCUCCUCAGGGACUGGGGAGAUUUGUCUCUUUGAAAUUCUAAUUGGUGAAGGGGGAUUUUUAUUGGAAUGAAAUUAAAAAUAAUUAAGCAACUCAAUUAAAAAUAAAUAAUUAGCUAGCACGAAUAUAGCAGGAAUUAAAUCAAGGAUAGAUAAAUUCUAGACUACUCAGACACAGUCUAUUUUAUCCGAUCAUUGAUGCAAGAGAGGUUCACUUAAUUUAUUAAUAGGCUAGUUAUAGUCGCCGACAAACUCUAACGACCAAUUUUUUCUUAAUUUAUUGAUAACCAAGGUACGACCAUUGAUUACCCCUAACUAGAAAAUACUCCUAGGUACGACCGUAGGAAUUAAUUUCUCAAUUGCAUUAAUAACUAGAAAAAACUAACCCCAAUCAAUAACAUGCUACGAAGGUUAUUUAAAUUAGAUUGCACGUUCCCCUAGUGUGUAAACACGCCAGUUGCCACUAAUAUAAAUCAAUCAAACAAUUACGGAUUUAAUUGACUAAUUUGGCAGGAGAUUAAUAAGUCACAUUGGACAUGGGGCCCUUGAUAUCCAAUUAACAAAAUAAUCCCAUAGAAAUUCAAAUAGACAACGUGCAAAUAUUAACAAAUUAAGAAACACAUGAAAACUAAUUAGAUCUCACAGAUAUUCGAGACUGCGCCGUCGAGUUGAUCCUUGACUAGAUGAAGGGCUUAGCCAUGCUGCAUAAUUAAAUCUCCAUGCAAAUUAAUUGAUUGCAAAGGCAUCAAACUUUUCACUAGGAAGCGAGAAAUAAAUGAUUUUUUCCCGUUGGGGAAUAUUGUCGAACAGUAGGCGUGCGCCUGACAAGGAAAAAGAAAGAAAACUAAAAACUAUGCUAAAAACUAAGCUCCCCCAAGCCUCUGUACGUUUGUUUCUAAAAUAAUUGACUAAUGCUUCCUAUCCGUGGUCCCCAUCCGCCGAUUGAGAGUCCCAGUCCAAGAAGAAAACUCUGCCGAAUUGAGAAAAAGUCCAAAAGGUGGGGCCCUGCUGAAUUGUUUCUUGUUUCCUCUUGCUAGUAGGACUCUCAUACCAGCCACUCCUCAUCAGUAAGAGCAAACAGAAAUCCGUUUCUUCCCUCUUGUGGGCCACAUUGAUGGAGCUUUGCAGAAGACUCACACGUGUGAAGUAAUUUGCUUCAGAAAGUCCCUCCUUUUUUGUAAUUUUUUGCUCCAUUCCCUCAAAUUAAGUCCAGAUACCAAAUAUAAGUAGUUAUUAACAAUUAAAAUAAUAUUUGGCAGGGACAAGGGGAAAAUUAAUAAUAAAAUAACCGACAAUUAACACCCCAUCAUUCAAACUUACCAUUUUACUUAAGAUAGUUACAACAAUUAUAAUUAGUAAACAUAAUAGAAACACAAAACCAAACUUGUAUUAUAACUAAACAUGAAAUCCAAUACAAGAGAGAAAGUAGUAGAAGAGAUAUCACCCUUGUCACAUGAGAUCAACCUCUCCAUCUUUACUCCUUAAUCUUCAUCCAAAUCUAGCUACAAAUACAAGAAAGAUAAACUACACUAACUAUACUAAUCUACUCUAACUAAUGAACUAAGAAAAACUAGUGAAGACUACAUUUUUGGUGAGUUUCUCUAGUCUUCCAAAAGUUGUGAAAUGUCCUCCAAGGUUGCUCUUUAUAGAGGAAUUCAAGUUCAAGGUGAAUUGUUAAAGUUGAUGUAAAUUGCUCCUUGGAAUCACCAAAAGAUGCUUCUUGAAUUCUCUAUACUUGCUUGCUUAGUUCCAGCCAAAUUUCUUGCAGAUAAAUUGGUCAAAAAGCUUGUGUGAACAGAGCACAAGUUGUAGAGCCGCAAUUGGGGAUCCGAGGCAAGAUCUGAGGUCGGAUCGCUCAAAAUACCUCUCGGAUCUCAUUUUUCUUCAUUUUUAUCUUUAUUGCACAUUAGGAUCUGAGGCUUGUAACAUGGGGAUCCGAGCUCGGACCAUUCUCUCGGAUGUAGCCUGUCAUUACAGAAAUUUAUCUGAGAUCAGGUUUAGUACAGAUCCGAACUUAGAUUUACUUGCUUUAUUUUUUGUCCAACUUUAACUGAUAUUUUCUUAAUGAUAGACUCUGAACUAACUCUUAUGAAAACAUGAAAAUUGUAGCUCUUUGAGUUAGAUUUCCAAUGCAUCAAGAAUUAUCCAAUUUAGACUUCUGUGGACCAAGAAAUUACCAAAAUACCAUUGACUGGUCAGGGCUCUGUUUUAGCUUUUGAUAAUGAAAAUACACUUCUAUAUUUCGACAUGACAAUGAAAAUGACUGAACUAGACUUUAAUGUCAUACCAAAUGUAGAUCUGUCUCUUAGCUUCAAAAUGGUUCAAGAAUCAUCUCAAUCCAAUGCUUGUAGUUCAAGAUAUAGCUGAAAUGCCACAAGGUAUCAAAGCUGUGAAACUUGAUUCUUUUUAUUCUUGAUUGCAUUUCCUCUUUUGCACUUCAUAUUCUCUCUUUUAUCACUUUAAACCAUCAUCAAUCAUCUAAUUAUCUUUUCAAAUUACUCCAAUUGAUGAUUGAAUCCUUAAAUCUAUAAAAACAUGAUGUUUUUACCAUAAAAAUCUAUAGAAAUGCAAUUUUUACCACUUAAAUCACAAAAUGCAUAUUUUCACUAGAAUCCUAACUAUUUAGUUCUAAAACUAAAUAAAACACACCAAAACUAACUAACAAAACAUACUUAAAACAUGCAAACUAUGUACUUAUCAAACUCCCCCACACUUGAACAAUUGUUUGUUCUCAAGCAAUUAACACAUAAUCAACAACAAUGAUUCAAGAGGUGAAACACUAUAUGCACUUUUUUCGAAUUCAAUCCAUUAUAACUUGGCAAACAAUCAUUAUGCAAUUAUUCAAUUUACACUAAAUAUUCAUAAUAUUAAGUAAAGGAAAGAUAAUUUGUGAGGACCCGUAAAUUUUCUUUAUCUCAUAAUAUUUUAUUUAUUUUUCUUGCAUGCAUUUUCUUCAUGAAAUCCUAUUAUAUUGCUUUUUUUGAGAUUUUAUAAGUAAAUAUAGUUUUUAGAUUAUUUUUCUAGUAUAAGUUAGUUCAUGAGAAAUAAAGAGUGUAUAUUGGACGUGGGACCUGCUAAUGGCGUUAAGUGCGAUAAAUUCGGUCAAUUUGGUUAAAUUUUGCAUAAAGGGAUUUAAUUAUUAGGUGUUAGGAGAUAAUUAGAGGAUACCUAGAUGGAUUAACUAUGGGGAGACAAGAAAAUAACUUCAAGCAACAACAAAGUGCCAAGUGUCGCAAUCUAGUCAAAGUUGACUUGCCUAACUUUUCUUUAACUUUACUAAAACUCCAAUUUUGAUCCCAAUCAUCUUCAUUUCAUCAACCCCUUGGCCGAACUCCACCUUGAGAGAAAAGAAAAGAAAGUUUCAACUAUAUCUUUCAUUUCUUGCACAAAUCUUGAAAUCUAACCGAUUAAACCUUGAAUUAGUCCACAAAAAAGACUUGUUAAGGGAGUUUGAAGGAUUUGGUGGAGUUGUUUUGAAAGAAAAACCCCUAAGCUACUACCUUUCUUGAGGAGUUAAGAUAUUUUGCUUGGAACUCACUCUUUGUUCCUAAUAAUGGUCAAUUGGUGACUUAUGGUAGCUAAUUAAGUGAUUUUAUGGAAGAUUUCAUGGAUUAAAGUGGAGUUAGCUAAAUUUCUGAUUUUUUUGGGAAUUUUUCUGUUUUCAUAUGGUGGUUAUGGUUGGCCUUGAAUUGAUGGAUCUAAAUUGUGUUAAAUGGAUCCCUUGAGCGCUAAUUGCGAUUGUUUGCGGAAAAAUUUCGAUUUUAUGCGGAAAUUUCAGUUUUAGGGUUCCAAUUUACCCUGUUCUACCCGGUUCCAUUUGACCAUGUUAGAGAUCGAAUUAGGUUUACCACAAAACAUGAAAGUUGUAGAAAAUGAUAUUUUAUAACUGCCUGUAAAAUUUCAGAUCUAUCAGAGUACUGUAGCAUUUGAAAUCACUGAAAUACCUUUGACUGCCCAUAAGCCCUAUUUUCGCGGAUAGUUUUCUGUCUUCGUGGAGAUUUCAAUUUUUGACUUUGAAAGUGCAUGAUUUAGCUUUGGAGGCCUUCAUAAUAAAUGUAGAUAUAUGUCUUGGCUUCAAAACUCCAUAAGAUACAACUCAAUCGGACUUCGGUAGCCUGAGUUAUUGUCAUUUAAUCAUAGUACGGUUAACUAGUCUGAUUGUGAGAUGCUGGUUCUGUAAUUUGAAAUUUUGACCUAGAUACACUACGGACUGGAUUGAGUGGUCUUCAUCAAAGUUGUAGGCCUUUAUCUUAACUUCGAAAUGGUAUAAAUUGCACCCCAAUCCAAUAAGCGUAGCUUCGGUUGAGUCUGUUCCGCUAAGAGACGUCAAACCUGCUAUUUAGCUUUUGUCCUUAAAACUUGAUUUCUAGUUGCAUUCCUAGACUUGCUUUGUAUUUGGAUGAACUUGAGCCUAGUUGAAGGGCUAUUGUAUUGAAAUUUCUUAUGUGUUGAAUUGGACUGACUUAAGGAAAACAAUGAAGCCAUAAAUGGCUGGAAUAUAGCAAAAUACAGAGGGCAUGCUGCCCAAAAUUUUAGAACUACGCGAUUCCUUCAAAUUGAGUUGAUCUUAGUAAAAAUGAAGGGUUUUGAGGGUUGUUUGUAACCCUAGAACCAACUGUUAUCUUUUUACUCAAACGUCAUAUUUUUAUUCUUCUGUACUAGAACUUAACCUGAAAAGGCGUACGACAUAUAGUCGAGUCUCAUUUAUGCAUUUCAUUUACUGGGUUUGUGGAUAUGCGAAUUAUAAUUGUUUUAUCUUGAUUAUUUUAGGGUUUCUUGGCGAUUAAAGUCAUUUUGGGUAAAAAACUUUUGAAAUAUCUGUACUGGAACCGGUGAGUGUACCACUCCUCUCAUUUGUUGCUUAACUUGGUUUCUGCAUCUGCAAUCUGUGAUUUAAAUGACUGUACUAUCUGUUUAUUCUGUUUGAGACGAGAGUGUACUUUAUCACACUCGUUCUCUUGUCUAUCCAUAUGCCUAUUUACUGUGUGUAAUCUGUUAUCUAUUUCUGAGUCUGUUCGGACGUCGUUUGGAGGCUGGUAUCCAACGAUCUUUCUGUGACCUCUGAUGUACGGAUCGAGGAUAACCUAAGAGGAGGGGUGAAUUAGGUUAUCUAAAAAGUAAGUUAAGAUAUGAGUCACCCCCUUUUUUGACCUAUUUUUUUUUUCAAGAGGACCUCAUAGAAAAGUAGUUGAUGGACUAGCACAAGCAAUUUGUGAGUAAAACAGGUAAGCAAUAUAUAUAUAUAUAUAGCAAGACAGUAAAUGAAGUGAUAGAAUUGCAAACCAAAUUUCAAACUUGACUAAGUUUGAAUAUCACUUUAUAUAUCAAGCUUCUUCAAUAUGAUCAACUAUCAACCAAUCUCUUGUGUACAAAUGAAGGAUCACUUCCUUCUUGCCUCAAGUCUCACUCGAUCAAGCAAGGAAGUUUUACAAUCACACGGAUAACUCUCACAAAGCUACACUAUUGAAGAAAUUGAAUCACACUUGAAAAGCUAAAAAGAGAUGACACAACUAAGGGUACAAAUCUUCCUUUUGAAGUAUUCACACACUUGAAUCACUCAAGAUCUGAUGUAGACUUAAUGUGUAAAAGUGGUUUUGAAGAGUUGACUAAUCCCUAUUUAUAAGAGACCAAAAAAUUUUUCAAUUAAUGCUGUCAACGGAUAGAAGGCAGAUGGAAGGUCAGCUAGCCGUUGGUAGUGUCGGAAGUCCGGUACUCUGAUUUUAUGCGUCCGAACGAAGACAGUGAGUUCAAUAUGAUUUCUUGCAAUUCUUAGGACGUCCGGUCCCUCCACAGUAUACGUCCGAAAGUAAACUUGCAAAUCCUUCUUCAUUUCUAUCGGACAUCCGAUGCUCCAGUGUUUUGUGUCCGAAGUGCAGUUACGUUUGUCGGACGUCCGGUAUAGAGGUAUUGUGUGUCCGAACGAGGUCAGUGAUCAUAGAUGUUUUGAUAUUUUACCUUCGGACAUCCGAGUGUGAGUUCUUCAUGCGUCCAAAGUUACUCAAUGGUUGUCGGCCGUCCGUUAUGGUUCUUUUGUGCGUCCGACAGUAAAUUGUCAAACCUUGAUCCAGUUUUGGCUUCAGGUCUUUGAUCUAGUUUUUGUUCCAAAUCCUGAAAUGAACUCUUCAAAGAAUAUUAGUAGCAUCCAAUUGAUUUGUAAUCAUCAAAAGUUAUGAAUUGAGAUAUACAAUCUCCCAUUUUUUGAUGAUGACAAAAUAUUGGAUGGAUCAAAAAGGAUUGAACUCCCUCUUAACUCGACUCCCCCUAGUUUAUAGAUUUCAUGACCAGAGUAUUCGCAACUCCCCCUCAUUUAUACGAUUCAUAUCCAUUUUCUUUCCCUUUUUGUCAUCAUAAAACAGCCAUACCAACAUUCAAUAGACAUUAUCAAUUUGACAAACCAGAACAAUAUAUGAACAUUCAGCAAAUGAUAAAAGCAUCCAUUCAUAGAAGAAAAACAUCAGUUAACAGAAUAACAUCAUUUUUACAGACCAAAAGAGGAUUAUGAUCCUCAAUUUAUAGCAGAAGUUUUUCAAUGCAAAAGAUGAACUAAUGUCCUAAUGAUGAAAUGCAAAGUCCUAGUAGUGCUUAGAUGGUAAUUUUCAAUGAUCCAGGCCUUCUCCUGGUUAGACGAAACUGCUCAGGAUCCAUUUGGUCUUCAUCCUCAGUGUCCUCAUCAUCAUCCUCAGUUGUCUCCACAGUUACAGGAGUCUUGCCUUUAUCUUUGGAUUGAGAGCUGGAAGCAUGUGCCUCUGGAGUGGCUUCAGGACCAGGAGUAUGCUCUGUGGGCUGAGGUCUUGGCUCUUUUUGAUGAGCACUUUCAUUGAAUUCAGGGAUUGGAGGCACGAGGAGAUUCCUUUUUUCAAUGAAGAUGGACUGCUGGGCAGGAGACAUGGUCAUCAUGAGACCAUCUUCAAUGAGCAGAACAUGUUGUUUGAGAUCCUCAAGCAAGGAGAUGACCUCAGAAUUGAAAGAGAAUGACUUACUAGCUGAUUUUCUAGGGUGGAAGGUGAAUGGAGAGACAUACAUGGAUUGAUCACGAGGAGUCCUAGGAGUGACAGGGGUUUCCUGAAGAUUUUUUCUCCUAGUUUCUGCCACAGUUUCCUUAUAACACCAAUGCCCCUCAAAAAAUUUCAGAUUCUUUCCCUCAAAAUACGCUUGUGAGAAAACUGUUGAGACAGUCUUUGGGUGAUUUUUCAGUAAAAGGAAUUUUAAAAUAGGCAAAGAUAGGAGUCAGAAAUUUUUCAUAAGAGAGUUUCCUACGACUAUCAGUGCUAAUCUUGAGCAGAAAUUUACACAUCACAAACCCAAAGUCAAUUCUGAUUUUUUCAACAAAACAGUAAAAGAGAUAAAGCUCCAUUUUGUUCGCAUCAGUUCUGUGGCCAUCAGUGGGCACCAACAGAUUUGAAAUGAUGGUAAAAAUUAUCAAGUUCUGAGAACUAAGAUCUUCUAAUCUUGCCUCAGCAGAAGUGUUGAAAUGUGAUUGAAAAUAGGUCAUGAGUUUAGCAAUGUGAAAAUGAUGAUAGGCAGAGGGAUAUUCUUCAUAUGAAAAGAAAUUUGCAACUUUUCCUUUAAAACCAGAUUCAAUACUUGUUUUCAGAAUGGAAUUCACAAUGUCAGGAGUUAACGCGAUGUCUACAGAGUUGACCCUAGAGAUGAGUUCAGUGUGUGAGUUACCCUUUCUGAGAUUUGCAAAGAACUGAUAAAGCAUAUCAGGGUAAUAAGUAUUGGGAAUGGACAGAAAAUGAAUCCAUUUUUGGAACUCAAAGAACUUAAUAAUAGGUUCGAGGGCAAGCUUACGAAAUUCAGGAGGAAAAAUAGUCCUUUGAGUGAUGAAACCCUUUUGUGAGACCAACUCAAAUCUGUCUCUGGCCUCAUCAUCAAUGAAUUUUGGCAGAAGAAAAGGUUCCUUAUCAAGCUGAGUCACUGGUUCCUUUCCAGACUGUUUCCUUUUUGCAGUUUGCUUGGCAGAUAACUCAGUAUUCUGAACCUCAGGCCUUGUCCGUGGAGAUUUUCUGGUAGAUGGCUUAGGGGUGUGCUGAACCUCAGCAUUUUUCUCUGCAUUUGAUUGAGGAGUGCUUCCCUUUUGGGCAGACCUUUUUCUUUUCCCAGGUGAUUUCGAGACAGUCACUUCAGCAUGAGUGGGUUCCUCUAUUUCUUCUGCACUCCUACCACCUAGAUUUUCUUCAGAGUGAUGCUCUUCCAUCUGCUCAUCAGAUGGCUCAACAGUUGGAGCAUCGCACUUCCUUUGAGCAGUUUGCUUUACCUUCCCACCUCUGUUUGCAGUUUUCUUUUUGGAUGCUUUGGUAGAGGGUUCCACAAUUUUAAUAUUCUCAUCCCUAAGUCUAAAAGAUUGUCCGACCCCCGUAGAACCAUCUCUAAUUCUAACCAUGGUGUAAUGUAAUCGGAUGUUGAUGUAGGAAGUGGUGUAAAGUGUAUAAGAUAGAUGAAGAGUGCAAUAUGAAUUAAUGUUGAUGCACAAACCAACCACAAGAAGUCUGAUUUGAAAACUUAGGGUUUCUGAUAUAAAUUAAGGAAAUGUGAGGCAGUUGGGAGUUGGAAGAGAUUUUUAUGUUCAGACAACGGGCAAUAGGGAUGUAAUGGUGUCGAUUGAAUCAAUUUCUUGGAACUUGAUUAGAGGAGAGAGUAAUUUGAAUUUUGAACUUUGAGAGAGAACUGAAGGGUUGCGUCCGAGACAAAGAAAGUUAAUGAAUUUAAUGAGGUAGGUGGCUUCCUUAUAUGAAGCAAUUUUUGAGUGUCGGACGGCCGAACGAAGUGAAUCUUCCGACUCAAUCGUCCGAACCAAAAUUUUCCAGAAAAGAAUGAAGAACAUUGUCGGAUGUUCGUUUUUAAUCUAUCGGACGUCCGAUAAGAAGAAACUUAGAGAAUUUUUUCUGAGACGCCCAGUUUUGUUCUCAGAUACACAAAUUGAUCCAGUGGAAGGGCUUUUGUGAGGAUAUCAGCAAUUUGAUCUUUAGAACAAACAUAUUGAACACAAAUUUCACCCUUGUGGACAAGAUCGCGAAUGAAGUGAUGCUUAAUGUCUAUAUGCUUUGUCCUAGAAUGUUGAAUGUGAUUUUUUAUCAAAUUAAUGGCACUGGUGUUAUCACAAAACAUAGGUACGGAAUUAUACACUAAACCAAAAUCAUUCAAAGUGUUUUUCAUCCACAACAAUUGAGCACAGCAAGCACCAGCAGCAACAUAUUCUGCUUCGGUUGUAGAUAAUGAAAUGGCAUUCUGUUUCUUGCUGAACCAGGAUACUAAGUAAUUUUCAAGAAAAUUACAUAUACCAGUUGUACUUUUUCUAUCUACUCUACAACCACCAAAAUCAGCAUCAGAGAAUCCACACAAGGGAAGUUCAUGACACUUAGGAUACCAAAGGCCAAAACUUACAGUUCCUUUUAAAUAUCUAAAGAUUCUUUUUACCGCAGUUAAAUGUGAUUCCUUUGGACAAGAUUGAAAACGAGCACAUAAGCACACAGCAAACAUGAUAUCAGGUCUAUUAGCUGUUAAAUAAAGUAAACUACCAAUCAUACAUCUAUACUUCUUUUCAUCAACUUUUGUACCUUCUUCAUCUUUGUCAAGCUUGACAGAUGUGCACAUGGGUGUUCCAACUUGCUUUGAGUCCUCUAUUCCAAAUCUUUUCAGCAGUUCCUUGGUAUAUUUGGUUUGAUUGAUGAAUGUUCCAUCUUGGGUUUGUGUCACUUGGAGUACAAGGAAGAAAUUCAGUUCUCCCAUCAUGCUCAUUUCAAACUCUUUUUUGUAUGAUUUUGGAGAAAUUCUUGCACAGUCUCUCAUUAGUAGCACCAAAUAUAAUAUCAUCCACAUAAAUUUGUACAAUUAGAAGAUCAUUUAAACUUUAUUUAGUGAAAAUGGUAGUAUCCACUAUACCUCUUUUGAAACCAUUUUCAAUCAAAAAACCACUCAAACGCUCAUACCAUACUCUUGAAGCUUGUUUUAAACCAUAUAGAGCUUUUGAGAGUUUAAAAAUAUGAUUUGGAUAAUUUUUAUUUUCAAAACCAGGAGGUUGACCAACAUAAACUUCUUGAUCUAUAAAACCAUUUAAGAAAACACUUUUAACAUCCAUUUGAAAUAACUUAAAAUUCUUGAAACAUGCAAAAGUUAAAAACAUUCUAAUAGAUUCUAGCCUGGCUACGGGUGCAAAUGAUUCAUCAUAAUCUAUUCCCUCUUCUUGAGUGUAACCCUUAGCUACCAAUCUGACCUUGUUUCUAACUAUUUCGCCUUUGUCAUUCAUUUUGUUUCUAAAAAUUCAUUUAAUGCCAAUAAUAGGAUGAUCUUGUGGUCUAGCAACUAAUGUCUAAACCUUAUUUCUUUCAAAUUGAUUUAACUCCUCUUCCAUGGCCAAAAUCCAGCUCUCAUCAUUUAAUGCAUCAGCAACAUUUUUGGGCUCAAGAUGUGAGACCAAUGCAAAGUUAUCUAUUAAUUGUCUAGAGAAGGAACGUGUUCUGACCUUUUCAGAUGGAUCCCCAAUGAUAAGUUCCUUGGGAUGAUUUUGAACGAAUUUCCAGGCUCUUGGAAGAUCAUUUGGAAUUUCAGUGUCACUGUCAUUGUCUUCUCUAGCAAGACUGUCUUGAUUUCCAUCUUCCUUUGAAUUAUUUUCUGAUGGAGCUGUGCCUUGAUUGCUGAUUGUUAGCCUCUUUAAUUCUUCUCGAAUACCUGCACCAUAUCUUCACCGCAACUCAUAGAAGUGUCACCAUUAGAUUCAUCAAAAGUGAUAUGUAUAGCUUCUUCUAUAACUAGAGUUCUACGAUUAUAAACUCUAAAACCUCUCUUGUUUUCACAAUAUCCCAAGAAGAUUCCCUCAUCAGAUUUUUUAUCAAACUUACCAAGAUGCUCCUUGAUGUUCAGAAUGAACCAUUUGCAACCAAAAACUUUAAAGUAAUCAACUACAGGUUUUUUAUCAAACAACAGCUCAUAUAAAGUCUUGUUCAAGAUUGGUCUUAAGAGAACUCUGUUCAUGGUAUAGCAUGCAGUGUUUAUAGAUUCAACCCAAAAGUACUUUGGUAAAUUGUAUUCACUGAGCAUGGUUCUAUUAGCUUCUUGAAGAGUUCUAUUUUUCCUUUCAACUACUCCAUUUUGCUGAGGUACUCUAAUAAUAGAAAACUCAUGUAUAAUGCCAUUGUUGUCACAAAAUUCUGGAAAUCCACAAAAAUGAAAUUCUGUGCCAUUGUCACUUCUUAUUUUUAUGAUUUUCAAAUCAAUCAGAUUUUGAACCUUGGCAAACAGGAAAAUAAAAUUUUUGAAAGCAUCAUCUUUAUGUGCAAGAAACAUCACCCAAGUGUAUCUAGAAUAAUCAUCAACAAUAACAAAACAGAAUCUCUUGCCACCAAGACUUGUGGUUUGAGUUGGACCAAAAAGAUCAAGAUGUAGGAGUUCUAAGGGUUUUGAGGUAGAAACACAUUUUUUUGGUUUAAAAGGUACCUUGACUUGUUUUUCAAAUUGGCAAGCAUCACAGAUGCGAUCUUUACAAAAAUUGAGUUUUGAAAGUUCUCUAACCAGGUCCUUUUUGAAAAUUUCUUUUAGCAACUCCAUAUUGAAGUGACAAAGCCUUCUAUGCCACAACCAGGGAUCCUCAUUUGCUAUUUUGAGACAACUAAGGCUGGAAGCAUCAACCUUUUCAAGAAUCACCACAUAAAUGUCAUUAACUCUUUUUCCUUUGAAAAUAAUAUUGAACUUUGAGUCAAGAACAAGGCAUUCAUGUUUCUUAAAUAACACGAGCAGGUUUCUAUCACAUAGUUGACUAACACUCAGCAAAUUGUAACUCAGGUUGUCGACUAAAAGAACAUAAUGAACAAAAGUCUGACCAUUCUUACCAACAUCACCAAUACCAACAGUUUUGACUUUAUUAUCGUCUCCAAAAGUAACCUUUCCACUUGUUUUUUGCUUGAGCUUGAUGAACUGUGAUGCAUCACCAGUCAUAUGUCUUGAGCAUCCACUAUCUAUGAACCAUUUUGAUUCUUUAAUACUGUUCACCAGGUUCACCUACACAGUAGUUCACAAUAUAAUGUUUGGUACCCAUUACUUUUUGGGUCCAUCAUGGUUAGCAUUAUGUCUAAUAACCCACAUGCAUCUCAUUCCAUUUCUCAAGUUUUUCUUAACAUAACAGUUGCUAUUCAUGUGACCAAAUUGACAACAAAAGUUGCAUACUGUCAUUGGAUCAAUCAAAUAAACAGGUUUAAUGAAUCUGACUUGCCUUCUCCUAUGGAUAGCAAACUCAUUUACAUUUUGAUUCAGUCUUAUCUGAUGAGUGUUAAGGUGAGGUUCAGUGUCAUUCUUUUGAAGGCGGUUCUGUUUCAUAUGAUGUAACAAUUGACAUAAAUCAUCCAUCCUUUUUUUUAGGCUGCAUUGUUCACUUUUGAGUAUGUCACAGAAAUUUAUCUUUUUGUUAAGUUCAGCAAGCACAUCAAUUUCAAUUCUUUUUAGGUUCUCAUUUUCAUGCUUAAGACACUUAUUUUGUCUAAAGAGAUUUGCAUUAUCUUGUAUUAAAAAGCUAAUUUUCUGCUUUAAUUCCUUGUUUCUAACAUAGGAUUCUUUUAAACUGUUAUGCAUUUUUUCUAGGAAAGAGUUAAUAUCAACAUCAGACUCACUAUCACUAUCAAUUUGAGAGUUACAAUGAGUUACCUCUUCAUCUCCAAUGGCCAUGAAAGUCACUUGGGCAGAUUCCUCUUCUUCCUCUACUUCUCCUUCUGAAUUGCAGUCAUUCCAGGUGAUCUGAAAAUUAUUGAAUUUUGGUUUUCGUUCACUCUUGUUCUCCUUCUUUUUCUUCAUUGGACAUUCAUUUGCAUAGUGACCAGGUUGGCCGCAUUCAAAGCACUUAUCAGUUUACUUUUUGUUGAAUUCCAACUUUCCUUUAUUUCUGAAGUUGUUGGACUGAUUUGGAAAGGAAUUGCUAUGUCCUCCUUUUUUGAAUCUUCUCUUGUUGAGUAUUCUUUUGAAGCCUCGUGUGAUGAGUGCAAUGUCACUAUCAUCACCUUCCAUGUCAUCUCCAUCCAGAGAGAUUGUAUCAUCUUCUUCUUGUGAAGUCUUCAGAGCAAUGUUUUUUCUAACUCUUGUGUCUUUCUCUUCCUGCACCUUAGACUUGAGUUUUAGCUCGUAAGAGGUGAGUGAAUUUAUAAGGGAUUCAAUAGAUAAAGUGUUCAGAUCUUUGGCUUCCUCAAUGGCAGUCACUUUGCUUUCCCAAUCCUUUGAUAGAGCGUUCAGAAUUUUUCUAUUUUUCUCACCUAGAAAGUAAUCUUUGUCAAGAACUUAUAGAUCCUUAAUAAGAUCAUUGAAUCUGCAAUACAUCUUAUCGAUAUUUUCGUGAGGUUCCAUCUUAAAGGAUUCAUACUUCGUGACCAGAAUAGACUUCUUCUGUUCUCUCACAUUUUCACUUCCUUCGUGUAUUUCUCGAAGUUUGUUCCAGAUUUCUUUUACAGAUUUACAGCCAUUGACUCUAACAGAUUCAUUUGAGUCUAAAGCACUGUAUAGUACGUUCAUCGCCUUGGCAUUCAGAGUGAGAUGGGUUCUAUCUUCAGCAGUUAGUUUCCUUCUUAUUUUUGGUCUCGGCCUGUUUGUCUCUGUAUCAAUAGUAGAGGCAUCAAACGGAUCUUCAUUGACAAUAAACCAUAGCUCAAUAUCAAUAGAUUGUAAGAAAAUAAUCAUCUUUUCCUUCCAACUCACAUAGUUUGAACCAUUGAACAAAGGGGGUCUAGUUACAGAUUGUCCCUCAAAGAACAUGGCAUUGUUGGUUGUCAUUUUUACUCCUAAGCCGAUUGAGCUUAAUCUCAAGGAGACCAAACUCUGAUACCAAUUGUAAGGAUCGAGAACAACCUAAGAGGGGGGGUGAAUUAGGUCAUCUAAAAAAGUAAGCUAAGAUAUGAGUCACCCCCUUUUUUGACCUAUUUUUCUUUUUCAAGAGGACCUCACAGAAAAGCAGUUGAUAGACUAGCACAAGCAAUUUAUGAGUAAAACAGGUAAGCAAUAUAUAUAUAUAGCAAGACAGUAAAUGAAGGGAUAGAAUUGCAAACCAAAUUUCAAACUUGACUAAGUUUGAAUAUCACUUUAUAUAUCAAGUUUCUUCAAUAUGAUCAACUAUCAACCAAUCUCUUGUGUACAAAUGAAUGAUCACUUCCUUCUUGCCUCAAGUCUCACUCGAUCAAGCAAGGAAGUUUUACAAUCACACGGAUAACCCUCACAAAGUUACAUUAUUGAAGAAAUUGAAUCACACUUGAAAAGUUAAAAAGAGAUGGCACAACUAAGAGUAUAAAUAUUCCUUUUUGGAGUAUUCACACACUUGAAUCACUCAAGAUCUGAUGUAGACUUAUUGUGUAAAAGUGAUUUUGAAGAGUUGACUAAUCCCUAUUUAUAAGGGACCAAAAAAUUCUUCAAUUAAUGCUGUCAACGGAUAGAAAGCAGAUGGAAGGUCAGCUAGCCGUUGGUAGUGUCGGACGUCCGGUACUCUGAUUUUAUGCGUCCGAACGAAGACAAUGAGUUCAAGAUGAUUUCUUGCAAUUCUUAGGACGUCCGGUCCCUCCACAGUAUACGUCCGAAAGUAAAUUUACAAAUCCUUCUUCAUUUCUAUCGGACGUCCGAUGCUCCAGUGUUUUGCAUCCGAAGUACAGCAACGUUUGUCGGACGUCCGGUAUAGAGGUAUUGUGUGUCUGAACGAGGUCAGUGAUCAUAGAUGUUUUGACAUUUUAUUUUCGGACGUCCGAGUGUGAGUUCUUCAUGCAUCCGAAGUUACUCAAUGGUUGUCGGCCGUCCGUUAUGGUUCUUUUGUGCGUCCAACAAUAAUUUGUCAAACCUUGAUCCAGUUUUGGCUUCAGGUCUUUGAUCUGGUUUUUGUUCCAAAUCCUGAAAUGAACUCUUCAAAGAAUAUUAGUAGCAUCCAAUUGUUUCGUAACCAUCAAAAGUUAUGAACUGAGAUAUACAUCUGAGCUCAACACCUAUGGCUAAUUACUCGAGUCGGGCCGGCAAGGGCCUGAUCGAUUAGAUAACGAACCAUAGUAGUCUGUUUCUGGAAAUCUUUGGGUAUUGAGACUCUUGAUUCCGGUAUACUCGAAUAUUACCACUUCUGUUUCUGUUGAGGUGUUCGGGACCAGUAGGGGUAUCAUUUCCCUUUGAAUCACUGUAUCUAACUGCUUUCCUUUAUAUCUGGUAUAUGUAUCUGAUUGGUUAAACAUGAAAGGCCAUGAUUUUACUUCUAUAUGUUUGGUACCUCAUUGAGCUUAAACUCACCCUUUUCUGUUACCUUUGUUUUCCUUACAGGGGACAAAUUUGGAAAUCACGAUUUUGGAAGAAAAGGGUCAAGCUAGCAUAUAUGUCAUGUUGUUAAGCUCUUUCAAAAACGAAAUCCUAAUUAUAUUUUGUGUAGUAUGAAUACCUUGGAUUGCACUGUAUGUUAAGACUCCAAUAUAAAUAUAUGUAUAAGUGUUUAACCUUGUCUAUUAAAUAUAUUCCAUUGAGACUAUGAUUUUAUGGUUUGGUAAGCAUAUUCUCACCUUAGUAGUUUUCGAUUAUUCAUUUUCUUUGGGUCCUAUCGCGCGUACUAUAUUGGAUUUGUGUGAAUCGACUCCGUAGUCCUGGCGAGAGUUUGGCAGGCGGUCCGUCGAACCCUUUGGUUCGUCUUAGGGUGAGGUGGGGCUGUCACAGGUGGUAUCAGAACCGCUUCGCGUGGUCUCUGCGCGGAGUGAGUUUGGGCCAUGUGGUGUUAUGGUCCUGAUUUCGUGAAUAUGUCUAAGUGCUCAUUUGAGUAUAAGUUAUGAACCGUGCAUGUCAUAAGUGUAAAGAUCUUUAUCAUGGGACUUGAGAACGCUAGGUAUGUAUGUCGGGUAGGAAUCUCUAAUAUGGGUGAUUUACUCUUGGGACCGACUGGUUCGAGUUAUGAAUUAUCUUAUUUGGGAUUCUUGUGUCCGGCUACUAAAUAGAUGAGAGCCUAGGUUAGAAAAGAUUUGGGCGAACUAGAAAUUUGAUUCCAUGGAACUUCAUGCGGUUUGUUCGGGUGUUAGUAAGUAUGGUUAACCUGGAUUACGAUAUAAAUUGUGGUAUUCUCGUAGAUUAUGGAUGGAGGUUUAGAGAGGAAAUAACUUUUCGUUAGUUACUUUUGUGCUUUUAACCUAGUUCGUCUAUAGUACUUUUGGAUGACCCCACUACCUUCAUGGAUCUCUUUUGUUGUAUCUAGUUGACUGCUACUGUGUGACUGGUUUGGUACAGUUGUGUUAUGUAUAUAUACUUUUGAUCUGUCUGUACCUCUUAUUACUUGCUUAUGCAUAUAAUUAUCUUUAAUGGUAUAUUCACGCUUCGACCCUAGAUUGGUUAGACCAAUGGAGGGUACUCGUAGUGGACGAGGUUAUGGGCGUGGACGUAGACAAUUCUCGAAUGGAAUGGGUAACCAAGAACCAAUACCUGAAUCAAAUCCUGAACCUAGGGUUGACCCAAAUACUCAAGUAGCCGCUGCUAUCCAAUGCAUGACUGAUCUGCUAGCCCAUGUAGUGGAACACCAGGGCCAGAAUCCUAAUACUCAACCUAGAAAUCCUGGUAACCAUAUAGAGGGAGAGGAUAGAGCCCUUGAAAGAUUUCAGAAGUUCUCCCCACCAAAAUUUCUUGGAGGCCCUGAUCCUGACGUGGCUGAGAGGUGACUGGAGAAGAUGAUUGAUAUUUUUGCUGCGUUACAUUAUACUGAGGAGAGACAAGUGACCUUCGAUGUCUUCCAACUGGAGGGAGCAGCCCGAUCUUGGUGGAAUAUCAUUAGACUGAAAUGGGAACGAGAACAAACCUCGAGAACAUGGACGAACUUUAUGAGGGAAUUCAAUACCAAGUUUUUUCCUCCUCUAAUCCAAGAAAAGAAGGAAGAUGAAUUCAUUCGAUUUCGCUAAAGAACUCAGACCGUGGCCGAGUAUGAGAGUCAAUUUACUCGGUUAUCUAAGUUUGCGCCCGAAUUGAUUGUAACCGAACAAAGACGGAUAAGACGUUUUGUCCAGGGAUUAAAUGUUGAGAUUCAGAAGGACCUGGCUGUAGCUCAACUUAGUACCUUUAGUGAUGCUGUGGAGAAAAUCCAGCGGGUUGAAAAUGCGAUGCUACAGGUGAGAAACUUCCAAACCAAGAAAAGGAGCUUCCCUGGGAGUAGUUCGGAACAAGAAGAUAAGAGUACACCCCCAAAGAUUGGAAAGGGAAAUGAUGGAGUACGACAACCGGGGGUGUAACGUGAUGUCUCUCAGGGAGGACCGGUCUCUGCUAUUCGUGGUCCCUGUGGAUAUUGCGGAGGGCCAAAUCAUACGGAGGCAAAUUGUUAGAAGAAAGAGGGAAAAUGUCUGCGCUGCGGAAGUGCCGAUCAUCGGAUUGUUGACUGCCCAGUUCGAUUGCGAACAGGAAAAGGGACCCAACAACCAACUAAGACCAACCCUGGACAGUCGGAAAAGGAAUGGACUGGAUUGAAGGUAUCGACUCGGGUAUAUUCUUUAGAGCACCAUCAGGUCUCUAACACGUCUGAGGACGUAGAAGGUACGAUCCGUUGGUUAUCUUAGAUUUUGAUAGAUCCUGUUCAUAAGAAAAUUUUGAGGACGAAAUUUCUUUAAAGGGGAGAGAGUGUGAGAACCUGUAAAUUUUUUUUAUCUCAUAAUAUUUUAUUUAUUUUUCUUGCAUGCAUUUUCUUCAUGAAACCCUAUUAUAUUGCUUUUUUCGAGAUUUUAUAAGUAAAUAUAGUUUUUAAAUCAUUUUUCUAGUAUAAGUUAGUUCAUGAGAAAUAAAGAGUGUAUAUUGGACGUGGGACCCGCUAGUGGCGUUAAGUGCGAUAAAUUCGGUCAAUUUGGUUAAAUUUUGCAUAAAGGGAUUUAAUUAUUAGGUGUUACGAGAUAAUUAGAGGAUACUUAGAUGGAUUAACCAUGGGGAGACAAGAAAAUAACUUCAAGCAACAACAAAGUGCCAAGUGUCGCAACCUAGUCAAAGUUGACUUGCCUAACUUUUCUUUAACUUUACUAAAACUCCAAUUUUGAUCCCAAUCAUCUUCAUUUCAUCAACCCCUUGGCCGAACUCCACCUUGAGAGAAAAGAAAAGAAAGCUUCAACUAUAUCUUCCAUUUCUUGCACAAAUCUUAAAAUCUAACCGAUUAAACCUUGAAUUAGUCCACAAAAAAGACUUUUUAAGGGAGUUUGAAGGAUUUGGUGGAGUUAUUUUGGAAGAAAAACCCCUAAACUACUACCUUUCUUGAGGAGUUACGGUAUUUUGCUUGGAACUCACUCUUUGUUCCUAAUAAUGGUCAAUUGGUGACUUAUGGUAGCUAAUUAGGUGAUUUUAUGGAAGAUUUCAUGGAUUAAAGUGGAGUUAGCUAAAUUUCUGAUUUUUUUGAAAAUUUUUCUGUUUUCAUAUGAUGGUUAUGGUUGGCCUUGAAUUGAUGGAUCUAAAUUGUGUUAAAUGGAUCCCUUGAGCGCUAAUUGCGAUUGUUUGCGGAAAAAUUUCGAUUUUGUACGAAAAUUCUAGUUUUAGGGUUCCAAUUUGCCAUGUUCUGUCCGGUUCUGUUUGACCAUGUUAGAGGACGAAUUAGGCUUAGCACAAAACAUAAAAGUUGUAGGAAAUGAUGUUUUAUAGCUACCUGUAAAAUUUCAGAUCGAUCGGAGUACCGUAGCAUUUGAAAUGACUGAAAUACCCUUGACUGCCCAUAAGCCCUAUUUUCGUGGAGAUUUCAAUUUUUGACUCUGAAAGUGCAUGAUUUAGCUUUGGAGACCUUCAUAAGAAAUGUAGGUAUAUGUCUUGGUUUCGAAACAUCAUAAGAUACGCCUCAAUCGGAUUUCGGUAGCCUGAGUUAUUGUCGUUUAAUCAUAGUACGGUUAACUAGUCUGAUUGUGAGAUUCUGGUUCUGUAAUUUAAAAUUUUGACCUAGAUACACUAUGGACUGGACUGAGUGGUCUUCAUCAAAGUUGUAGGCCUUUAUUUUAGCUUCAAAACGGUAUAAAUUGCACCCCAAUCCGAUAAGCGUAAUUUCAGUUGUGUCUGUUCCGCUAAGAGACGUCAAACCUGCUAUUUAGCUUUUGUCCUUAAAACUUGAUUUCUAGUUGCAUUCCUAGACUUGCUUUGUAUUUGGAUGAACUUGAGCCUAGUUGAAGGGUUAUUGUAUUGAGAUUUCUUAUGUGUUGAAUUGGAUUGACUUGAGAAAAAAAAAUGAAAUCAUAAAUGGCUGGAAUAUAGCAAAAUACAGAGGACAUGCUGCCCAAAGUUUUAGAGCUGCGCGAUUCCUUCAAAUUGAGUUGAUCUUAGUAAAAAUGAAAGGUUUUGAGGGUUGUUUGUAACCCUAGGACCAACUGUUAUCUUUUUACUCAAACGUCAUAUUUUUAUUCUUCUGUACUAGUACUUAACCUGGAAAGGCGUACGACAUGUAGUCUAGCCUCAUUUAUGCAUUCCAUUUACUGGAUUUGUGGAUGUGCAAACUAUAAUUGUUUUAUCUUGAUUAUUUUAGGGUUUCUUGGCGAUUAAAGCCACUUUGGAUAAAAAACUUUUGAAAUAUCUGUACUGGAACCGGUGAGUGUACCACUCCCCUCAUUUGUUACUUAAUUUGGUUUCUGCACCUGCAAUCUGCGAUUUAAAUGACUGUACUAUCUGUUUAUUCUAUUUGAGACGGGGGUAUACUUUAUCACACUCGUUCUCUUGUCUGUCCAUAUGCUUAUUUACUGUGUGUAAUUUGUUAUCUGUUUCUGAAUCUAUUCGGACGUCGUUUGGAGGCUGGUAUCCAACGACCUUUCUGUGACCUCUGAACUCAACACCUGUGGCUAGUUACUCGAGUCGGGCCGGCAAGGGUCUGGUCGAUUAGAUAACGAACCACGGUAGUCUGUUUCUGGAAAUCUUUGGGUAUUGAGACUCUUGAUUCCGGUAUACUCGAGUAUUACCACUUCUGUUUCUGUUGAGAUGUUCGGGCCCGGUAGGGGUAUAUUUGGUGGACGAAAAUUGGUGUAAAGUAGGGUCUAUGGAUAUGUUGGUUCUAUUUACGUUGAUGGAGAGUCAACGAGUUCGGAUCAAGAACUGUAAAUGGAAACCUGGCUCUUGAGAGCCACUUGUAUCAUUUCCCUUUGAAUUACUGUGUCUAACUGCUUUCUUUUAUAUCUGGUAUAUGUAUCUGAUUGGUUAAACGUGAAAGGUCAUGAUUUUACCCAUAUAUGUUUGGUAUCUCAUUGAGCGUAAACUCACCCUUUUCUGUUACCUUUGUUUUCCUUACAGGGGACAAACUUGAAAAUCACGGUUUUGGAAAAAAAAUGGUCAAGCUAGCAUAUAUGUCAUGUUGUUAAGCUCUUUUGAAAAUGAAACCCUAAUUGUAUUUUGUGUAGUAUGAAUACCUUGGAUUGCACUGUAUGUUAAGACUCCAAUGUAAAUAUAUGUAUAAGUGUUUAACCUUAUCUAUUAAAUAUAUUCCAUUGAGACUAUGAUUUUAUGGUUUGGUAAGCAUGUUCUCACCUUAGUAGUUUCCGAUUAUUCGUUUUCUUUGGGUCCUAUCGCGCGUCCUAUAUUGGGUUUGUGUGAAUCGACUCUGUUGUCCUGACGAGAGUUGGGCAAGCGGUCCGCCGAACCCUUCGAUUCGCCUUAGGGUGAGAUGGGGCUGUCACAUAAUUAUAGCCUAAUUUUGACAAGUUAAAUUUAAUCUCUCACCCUAACCUAAUUUCACAGAUAAGCAAAUCACAAUCAAUUUAUAGCUAUCUUCCUUCCAAGAUCAUCUUUUUCACAAAUUUUACAACUAAGAGGUAUUUAUUCAUACUAAUUUUUACUCAAAUAGUGAAAAUGUCUUUUGACGCGAAGAUCAACACUUCUCGGUGAAGAUCCCCGAUUACUCAACAUUUCACUUUUUCAGAUUGCUAUGCAUACUCUUAAUUCAAAUACCUUCUUAGGCGAGUGUCGACAUUUGUAGAUGCCAACCCCCGAUUACUUGGUAUAAGAAUCAUUGGAAUAGAACAAAAACUCUUAUCUUCUUUUUUUUUUUGAAAAUAAAAGACAAUAAAUAGACAUUCCCUCUUAGUAAAUACACAAGAAUAACCAAAGGAAGAUUAUAACUUUUGUUGACUAUAUCAAUCACUUGUAAAAUUAAAUAAAGAGGAGAAAUCUCAUCAACCAUGCAAAGUUAUAGGUAUAAUUCUCCCUACUUUACAGGAUAUACUUCUUAAAAUGCAAAAAUUUCAAUUGCAUAAUAACCAUUUCCAAGUCAAAUGAGGACUAAAUCUUCCAAACUAUAUAUAAAGUUUCAACAAGUAGAAGAACCACAAUGCUCAAGGUUGGAACAAAUUGGCCAUUGUUUAAAAUAAAGACAAAAAUUGCAAAAAGUUUUGGGCCAUAGUGAAAUAUUGAAAAAGAUUUUAGAAAAAUUUUGACAAAGUUUCCCCUUAUAACUGGAUGAAACUCACUACCAACAAACCAAUUUUUCAAGUUCAACAUGGCAAUAUUUUCAAUCACAAUUCCAACAUUUCUAAUGCAUUUAAAUCCACAAAAUAUCAUUGCAUGGCAUAAAAUAGCAAGCCAAUUAUUCCCCUCCUCCACACUUAACUUUCACAUUGUCCUUAAUGUGAGAAAGGAAAAAUAACGAAAGUAAGAGAAAGUUGUACUCCCCUAUUGAACUUGUGCUAUCCAAAUCCACAGCCAAGCAAUUAAUUUCCAACCUUAUUUGCAAGAAAGGAGAAUUCAAUUAAUACACCACUUCAAAAGGCAAAAUCAAAUAAAACAACUGAGUAAAAACUUGCAACGAUCAAGAAGUAAGCAUGCAAAUCAAGGGAAAAGGGGAAAGUAAUCAAGCAUGUGAAACCAUACAAUGUUCAGGGGAUAAAAACAUGAAAUGAGCUAAUUUUUGUGAAUCUAGUAUAUGCAUUAGUAUCCAAAGUAAAGGGAAGCUAAUUUCACAAAAUAAGUCCAUCAUCACAAACAAAAUAAGUUCCAUUUAUACAUUUUGUUAUCAAUGAUCAAGUCCCCUCAAGUACAAAAGUAAUCUCAAAAUGGAGGCAAACACACCAACCCAAAAUAUAAAUGACCUUCUUGAGAACUCAUGGAAUAAUAAAAACCAUUGAACCACAAAAAUUAUAAGUGCAUUUAUGAAUUUCGUCAAUUAAGGCCAUCUUCAAUUCGCCUCUUCUUUUAGAAUUACCUAAGAAUUCAAGAAAUCAUUCAACCAAGCACCUUUUCAUUCAUGAGGUAAUCUAAAUUACUCACAUGAAUAUCAUAAACUCCCACAAGCUAAUUAAAAUGCUACCUUGGCCAUUUCAUAUGCAACUUUGUCACCAAGUCAAAUUAAGCAUAAAAUUAGCUAAAAUUCACCAAAUGAAUACAAUAAACACACCCUCAAGAUUUAUUUAUCACUAACAAUCACCAAUAGCAUCAAUAAGCUCAAAUAAAUACACCAAGCUUCACAUAUGAAAAAUUGCCUAAAAAUAGAAAAUAUUCAACCAUGGCAAAAUUCAAAUGACAAUGUUAGGUGAAGAUUUGCUACAUCAAAGUGGUUUGGUGAUGUUUAGAGAUGAAAAUAAUGUGAAAAGCCCCCAAGAAACUCACUCCAAUUUGGCCUCAAUUGAAAGAGAUGAGAAGAUGAAACCUUAGCCUACUUGAAUCUUUAAUUCAAAUUUGGAGAUGUUUUUGAAAUAAUUAAACCAUGAAAACCACUCUAGAUGGUGUAGGGAGUAAUGUGGUGAAGUUUGUUUGAAGAUUAGAUAGUGAAAAGAGUGAUUUAGUGAGUAGUGUGUGUUUUGGGUGUGGGGGAGUUGAAGGAGGAAGAGAGGGAAGAAUGAGGAAAAGUGAACCGAGCCUUCAUUUUUGAAUUAUUUCUAAAAGGAUCCGAGGUCAGAUCGUGAUAAUUGAACUCGGAUAAAAAAAAACUCGAAAUCAUUCUCUGAUUGCAGAAGUAGAUUCGAGGUCUCGGAUCCAUUGAAUCUGCACUUAUUACAGAAUUUUCUGUAAUUUUCAAUUUGGCCCCAAUUUGAAACACACUCUCCAAUUUGUGCUCCAUAACAAAAUGUUCAACAAUUCAACACUUCACGUACAUGAAAAGUGACUUAAACAUGAAUCUUAACUCCUCAAAACAAAUCAAAAACAUGUAGAAUGCAAAUUGAGGGUUGAGGUUCUUGAAUCAAAAAGUCUCCCUGACACUUUCAAUGCACAUGAUAAUGCUCAAAUGGUUCAAAAGAAUGCAAAUAGAUCAAAACAUACUUAAUCACUUAAAUGCACUUCAAUUUCAUGCAAAUGACUGACUUAACCUCGUAUCAUGAAAUUAAGUAUUGUAAACUCAAAAAUAAAGAUUAAGCUUCCAUUUUUUACGUCGGUCUCCACUCCUUAUAAGCUCUUUUGCACUUGCAAUAAUUCGCAUGACUUCUUGUCAUUGCUACCUACAAAACACACAAAAAAAUACUAAUCAAAUAACUAAAACCUACUAAAAAACUAGAAAUUGUUGGGUUGCCUCCCAACAAGCGCUUCUUUAUAGUCAUCAGCUCAACUAUUUCACCUCACUUUUCAAGGAGGAUUUGUUAAAGAAUAAUCCACCAUUUUUGGACGUAGUGGAUCAUUAAAAGGUGGUUUAAGAAUAAAAACCACAUAAUCAAAUGAUAAGAGAGAUGGAAGAAACUUACCUAUCUUAAGUGAUUCAUAGAUUUUACCUUGAAUGUGUGUCACCUGAGUUCUUACCAAAGGAAUGUCCGCCGCAUGACCUUCUUGGGCAAUAAUACCUUUAAAACCUAUACUUCCAACAAAUUCCUCAAGAGGGGUGAAAAAUGAGGCACUAAUACUCAUCUCUUGAGGUUCAACGUUAGUUCCAAAGAUAUUAUCUUGUAAAAUGGACAUUUCCUCAUUGAAACUCAAAUUGAAUUCAUCAUUUUCAUCAAAAUGGAAUCCACUUUCACUUGCAACAUGCUCACCAUUCAUGCUAGGGUCAUAGUGCAUAUAAUUAGAAGAAAUAAUUUCACACAACUCAUGCAAUUGGUCUUGUAUUCUACCAAAGUGAGAAACUAAUUCAUCUAAUCUUUCCUCAAUCCUAGCAAAACAAUUGGAGGUUGCAUUAGCUAGCUUUUCUAUAACUAAAUCAAAUUGAUUAGAAAAUUUUUCUAUAGCUAGCUCCGAAGAUGCAUUAGAAUCAUUAGCUAAUGGUUCACAUUCUAAUUCCCAAGGUAAAGAUGCAUUAGCUAACUUUUCUAUUGCUAAUUCCCAAGAUGGCUUAGAUUCAUAUUAGACACAUUCGGAUUGGUAAUCAUAAAAAUAUGGAGAAUCACUAUAUGCAUAUUGAUUAUCCCAACCAUAAGUAUAAGAAUUACUCCAAUUAGGUCCAUUUUGAUCAAAUAAGGAUUGUAAUACCUCAAUUCAUCAUAAUAAUUCACAUUUUGUGCUUGCCUACAUAUAUAAGUUGUGAGAACCCGUAAAAUUCUUUAUAUUUUUCUUAAAAUUCCCUUUAAUUUGAAACUUAUUAGAAUUUAUUACUUUACAAUAACUUUAAUAUAUAUUCACUUCCCCAAUAGUUACAAAUAAUUAUUAAAACAAGGGUUUCCUGUUUAUUUUCAUCGUUACAAUAACUUAGGAUUUUUACGUCUUUUCGUAAUGUGAGUAACCGGUACGGAGUGUGUGCUAAAUUUGGUGAGUAAGAGUGAUUUUUAGAUGAGAAAAUAAUUUGGGAUUAGACGUAAUAAUAAAAAGUUAGUGAAUGAUAAGUAAAAACCCUAGUACGUGUGAUUUACGGAAAAACGGUGCGAACCGACGGGUACCGAUCAUUACCGAUUGAACACACCAUUUGACCACCAUUUUUAUCAAGUUAAUCUCCUUGAUAUUAGAGCUUAAAUAUCAGCUCAAAAUCUGAUCUUGAGGGCCGAAAUUUUAGACUUGAAAAACAAGAGAAAAGAAAAAAAAUUGAGAUACAAAUUGGUUGUGACAAGUGGUGGUCAUCCAUGGCUCGAUUGACCAACUAAUUUCCACCAUCUUUAUCACUAAAAAACUACUCAAAUGCUCUUCAUUUUCCUCCAUCUUAGCCGUGCUUCUUGAGAGAAAAACAAGAGAAGAAUAGCUUCCAUAAUUCUUAGGUUUUGCUUGAUUAAGAGAGAAAACAAGAAAACUACACCGAUUAACUUGUAAGUUGUGAGUUUGGGAAGCUUAGGGAGCCAAAUUUUUCAAGGAGAGGUGAAGUAUAACCAUUACAAUCUCUUGUUUUGAGGUAACAUGGCUGACCACUCUUUUCUUUUUCCCUUAAUCAUGUUGGGGUUGUUUAGUAACUUGUAUUUGUGCUUGUGAUGCUUAACUCAAGUGAUUUUGGAUGAUUGGGGUGAUGAAUUUGAGUUAGGGUUUGAAUGAUUUAUUUAUCAUACUUGUUGUAUGGAUGGUAUAUGAGGUGGUAGUGGUGGUUUUAAGUUAGAAAUGUGAAUUGUACUUUGACUUCCUAAAUUUCCAGAAUUUAAUUUUUUGCAUACCCUGUUCUGCCUGGUUCUAGUUCACCAUGAUAGAGGCCGAAUCAGGCUUGAUACAAAACAUGAAAGUUGUAGGGAAUGAUGUUUUAUAGUUUUCUACAAAAUUUCAUCUCAAUCAGAGUACUGUAGCUUGUGAAAAGAUAAAAAUACCUCUGACUGCCAUAGGUAGAGCCCUGUGGACAGUGUUGACCUUUCACCAAUCUGACCGCAUCUGUUCACCCUGGUCUGUACUGAAUUAGCAUUUGGUCAAAACAUAGAAGUUGUAGGCCUUUGUCUUAGCUUUUAAAUGGUAUAAAUUUCACCCCAAUCUAAUAAGCAUAACUUCGGUUGUGCCCGUUACGCUAAGUGACGGCAAAUCUGUCUUUUGUUUUAUGCCUUAAACUUCCUUUCCGAACAUUGUCCUAGCUUGAUUUUAUACUUGUACAACUUUGAGCCUAUUGAAUGGAUAUUGAACUGAGAUUAUUUUGUAUGUGACUUUGGGACUGAUUGAGAAAAACAAUGAAGCCAUAAAUGGCUGGAAAAUAGGUAAACACAAAGGGCGUGCUGCCCAAAUUUACGCCCGAGGACUAGAGAAAUAUACUUGCGACUUGUGUAAGGCUUGAGAGUGAUUAUCACUUGAAUUAUCUAGGAUGCUUGUGUUUUCAUUUAUCGAGAUAUAUAAGUUAGAACUUAGCCGAACUUGUACCCUUGGGAAAUGAUAUAACGACUUCUAGAAAUACGUUUUCCUUACACUUUCGACUCAAAUAGUAUUUCCCAGUAUACUUACUGCAAACUUUCGCAAUUUGAAAAGCGAGCAAGUGUUUCACGAAUAUUCUCCAAACGAAUGUCAAUUACUUGAUUCUUAUUGAACGAAACGUUUACGUUUCGAACCUUAAUCAUUUUCAAAGUUUUUAAACAAGAGUUUUAUCGCAGAUUUGGACUCCAUACCCGGAGUAUAACCCAGACGUGAUCACUAGGGACACUUCAUUUUGGUGAGUGCUUCCAAAUACCUGAUUGAACUAGACACUUGUUUCUAAUACGUGAUCAAUAUGAUUAAAUGAUAUAUGAUUGGUUUGAUUGGGCAAGAGUGUACUUUAUCGCACUUACCCUUAUGUGACAUAUACUUGUUUAUUGUUGCACUAGAUUUGAUAUACUUGUUUAUGAUGUGCACACUUCCUGGAAUUCCAGAAACCCUGUGGCGAGUUACUCGAGUCGAGCUGGCAAGGGCUUGGUCGAUUGGGUAACGAACCCUGGGUCUCUUGCUUUGUCAAGUGGAGUGAUAUCUCCUCGACUAAUCGGUAUACUCGAGUACUACCACCAAUGUUUAUUGAGGAUUUUGGGCCCAGUAGGGGGUUUGAAUGGUGGACGGAGAGUAGUGUAAGUGGUGCUCUACUGGAUUGGUUUCUUUACUUGAAAGUUGACGGAGUGUCAACUAUUACGUGAUCAAGCUCCUGGUGAUGCAACGGGAAUUUGGCUCCUGAGAGCCAUCCGUAUCCUUAUACCUUGAGAUGAUCGUUACGUGUAGUGUUAUUGUUUCUUUUAAAACUUUACACUCGCUUAUUUUGAGAUUGCUACUUGAAGUGUUAUUGCUUACUUUUAUGAACUCUUUAUGCUCGUUACUUUGCUACAUUGGAAACUUGUACUUAUAAAUAAUAGUCAAUUUGCUAUUUGGAACCUUACUGGGCUUUUAACUCAUUUCAUGCCAUUUGUUUUCCUUACAGGGGUACGAACGAGGCGUGAGACGUGUACAGACUAGCGUAGUCUAGUUGUUUUGACUUUUGUAAUUGUACUCACACUAGUCGCUCGAUUAGGGUUGAAUGUACUGAGAACUUAAAUCUUUUCAUGUAUUUGGGACUGUAUGGAUGGUUGAGAUAGAAAUGAAUGUAUUCGUAUGUUCCAAACUUGGGAACUAUUAUUUCGUUUAUUAUUGAGAUUGCAUCUUAUUUUAUUUGAUGUGAGUGAGUGAGUUCUUGCGAGAGUUGGGCAGGCGGUCCGCUAAAUCCUAGGGUACGCCCAAGGGAAGGUGGGGCCGUCAUAUAAGUAGCAUGAUCACCUCCACACAAGUCACAAAUCUCAUGAUAAGAAUUGAAAGUAUUAAAAUUCCUCUUUUGUUCAAGCAUAUUUGUAACAGUGUCCAAUUGAACUUUUAAUGUUAUAAAAUCGCAUUUAGCCUUUAAGCACCUCAAACCAUUAUCAAAUGACAUACCUUCAGUAAUUUCUUGAUUACCUCUAUCCAUGGACCUUUGCACGUAGUAGCCAUUCAUUGCCUAACUUUUAAUUCUCAUGCAUUGUUCUCCAAAUUGACCUACCCUCCUCAUUAUCUAAAAUUGCUUUUAAACAACUUAAAAGCAAGAUUAGUAAGAAGAAUAGGUGAUAAAAUACAUAUACACAUUACGCACAAAAAUAAAAGUAAAUAAAAUUCAAGACUAACUCAACAAACACACAACAAACUAGACUCAAUUAAUACACAAGAAAAACUAUUAAAAUGUUUAAACUAAUAAAGUUGUUCUUAGCACCGAUAUUAAGUAAAUUAUCCCCGACAACGAUGCCAAAAACUUGACAAGCACGGGGCAUACAUAUAUCAAUUAGUUCAUUCACAGUCAAGUUUUAUAUUUAUAAAAUUCUAAAUACCCCACACGUGAUUUUUCGUAAGUAUACGAGUCACGAUUGAAUAUAGGGUAUUAAGGGUCGAACCCAUAGGGAAGAUUGUCAAUUACCGAUAUUUUUAAAACUCCUUUAUUAUUUAGACUAUCACAAGUACUAGAUAUUAAAUCUAUACUAUAAACAUGAGAUAAAAAUAAUAAAAAUAACAACAGAAAACUCUUAGAGAUAUGGAAUUCCUUACUAUUCUUGCAAAUAAAAUUACUGGUUAAGUGAAAACUAUUAUUUUGGCUAAUUAUGGCGUAAUUUCCAAAUGUAUGUGAUACCCACUUUCGCCGGUGUACCAACUAUACCUAUACUUAAUUCACACCUACUUUCGUGGUUAAGAAUUUAGCUACAAGUUCAUUUCUUUUAUGAAAUUACAUGAAACAAGUCAUUAAAACUACAUAGGUGCACUUCUACUUUCGUGAGUGUACUCCCUAGGUUUAUCACUUCCUUGAACUAGUGCUAAAUUCCAAUUUUCAUUACAAACUUAACACAUUUAAGAUUAUUAAUGGUCAGUUAAUCAUGAUUAGAAAAGCAAAAGUGAUAAAUAACUUGUUCAAAAUAAUAUCAUCAAAUAACCAAGUAAAUAUCACUAACAAGAUAUAGAAAGUUCAUCCAUAUUCUAGGCAUAAACUUUAACUAAACAUAAUAGAAACACAAAGCCAAACUUACAUUACAACUAAACAUGAAAUCCAAUACAAGAGAGAAAGUAGUAGAAGAGAUAUCACCCUUGUCACAUUAGAUCAACCUCUCCAUCUUUGCUCCUCAAUCUUCAUCCAAAUCUAGCUACAAAUACAAGAAGGAUAAACUACACUAACUAUACUAAUCUACUCUAACUAAUGAACUAAGAAAAACUAGUGAAGACUACAUUUUUGGCGAUUUUCUUUAGCCUUCCAAAAGUUGCGAAAAUGUCCCCCAAGGCUGCUAUUUAUAGAGAAAUUCAAGAUCAAAAUGAGUUGUUAAAGUUGAUGUAAAUUGCUCCUUGGAAUCACCAAAAGAUGCUUCUUGAAUUCUCUAUACUUGCUUUCUCAAUUCUAGCUGGAUUUCUUGUAGAUAAAUUGGUCAAAAAGCUUGUGUGAACAGAGCACAAGUUGCAGAGCCGCAAUUGGGGAUCCUAGGUCGGAUCGCUCAAAAUACCUCUCAGAUCUCAUUUUUCUUCAUUUUUAUCUUUACUGCACAUUAGGAUCCAAGGCCUGUAGCAUGGGGAUCCGAGCUCGGACCCUCCUCUCGGAUGUAGCCUCUCAUUACAGAAAUUUAUCCGAGGUCAGGUUUAGUACAGAUCCAAACUUGGAUUUACUUGCUUUAUUUUUUGUCCAACUUUAACUGAUAUUUUCUUAAUAUAGAGGCUGAACUAACUCUUGUGUAAAACAUGAAAGUUGUAGCUCUUUGAGUUAGAUUUCCAAUGCAUCAAGAAUCAUCCAAUUUGGAUCUCUGUGGACUGAGAAAUUACCAAAAUACCCUUGACUGGUCAAGCCUCUGUUUCAGCUUUUGACAAUGAAAAUGCACUUCUAUAUUUUGACAUUUUGUCAAUGAAAACGACUGAACUGGACUUCGAUGUCUUCAUACCAAAUGUAGAUCUAUCUCUUGGCUUCAAAAUAGUUCAAGAAUAACCUCAAUCCGAUGCUUGUAACUCAAGAUAUAAUAGAAAUACCAGAAGAUGUCAAAGCUGUGAAACUUGAUUCCUUUUAUUCUUGAUUGCAUUUCCUCUUUUGCACUUCAUAUUCUCUUUUUUAUCACUUCAAACCAUCAUCAAUCAUACAAUUAUCUUCGCAAAUCACUCCAAUUGAUGAUUGAAUCCUUAAACUUAUAAAACAUAAAGUUUUCACCAUAAAAAUCUAUAGAAAUGCAAUUUUGCCACUUAAACCACAAAAUGCAUAUUUUCAGUAGAAAUCUAGCUAAUUAAUUAUAAAAUCAAAUAAAAAACACCAAAAAUAACUAACAAAACAUACUUAAAACAUGUAAACUAUGCACUUAUCAAAGUUACCACAAUUAUAAUUAGUAAGUUUAAUUCAAAUAAUAGUAAGUUUUUGUUAAAACAUGGUAACUUUUACAAAUAAAAUGGUAAUUUGGUAAGUUUUACAAAUUUACUACUUCAUUGCACAAACUUACCAAUAUAUUUGUGAAACUUACUUAAAACUAGGUUAGUAAAUUCUUUACAAUUAUAGCAAGUUUUGGAAGACAAAUAGAAAGUUUGUGCAUUAAAAAGGUAACUUAUAUGGAUGACUAAAACUUACUGCUUUAUUGUCCAAACUUACCAUUUUACUUGAAAAGCUUACAUACAACUACAUUAGUAAGUUUAAUGACGUCACUAGUAAGUUUUUGUGCGAUAAAUGGUAAAUUUGGCUAAUAAAAAGGUAAUUUUUGAAAUUUAUUUUUUUAUUGCACAAACUUACUAUUUUACUUGAAAAACUUACAUACAACUAAACUAGUAAGUUUAAUCAAAAUAAUAGUAAGUUUUGUUAGAUAAAUAGUCAGUUUUACUAAUAAAAAUGAAACUUUUGAAAUUUGCUACUUUGUUGGACAAACUUACUAAUUUAUCUCAGAAACUUACCUAUUGCUAAAGUGAGUAAGUUUGACAAAAAAAUAUAGUAAAAUUCAUUACAUAAAUGGUAAGAUUUAAUAUUAAAAAGUAAAUUUGUUAAAUACUUAAAAUUUACUAUUUUACAAGACAAUUUUAUCGAUUUAGUUGGAAAGUUUCAUGUACAACUGGAUGCAUUAUUUAAUUCACCAAAAAAGGGACGCAAAAAGCUAUAAACUAUCACAAAAGGGAAAGAAAAUUGGAUGUCCAGCUCAACUGCUAUUAUUUUAUAUUAACUCACCUAAUGAUAUCGGUACCACAACACUAUCCAUUAUUUCAUAUAAUUGGGAUUAACAAUUCUUGAGGAGUGUGGCCCAACAUGAUUGUGCACUUAAAAAAAUUUAGUUGGUUUUUGGAGUAAGACAACCAGUUAUUUUUGUGAUUGUCAUGCCUACAAAUUAAGUGAAUAAUAUGCUAAAUCAAUUAGUUAGUUGGGAAGCUUGAUUAAUUACUUAGUAAGCAAUUCAAAAUAAUGAGAUAGUUGGCAAGAGAAAUCUUCUCUAUGUAUCUAGAAGGUUGGAAAUUAAGAAGGUUAUUGGUAAGUGUGACUAGAAAUCUUGUCUAUAUAUUUAGAAUGAUCAUUUACAACUGUAAAUUGACCUUGUACACUCCAAUGUAAUAUAUGAGUGAAAGAAAGAAACAAUUGAAACUAGUUUUGUCUCAAAUAUUCUUCUCAAUUCUUGACCUAAUAUUCAACAAAAUUAGUAUUAGAGCUAGGUUUCACAGCCUUAGUUCAAGCCCUAAAACCAGAAAAAUUUGAGAGAUUUCCAAUUAUACAAGAUGGCCGAUCAUACUAGUAAUGGUCUUCCAAUUCCCAUAUUCUCCGGUGAGCACUAUGAUCAUUGGUACGUGAAAAUGAGAAUAAUUUCCAGAUCACAAGAGUUGUGAGAAUAUGUACAGAGAACCAGAAAAUGAAGAAGGUCUCACCAAUCAAGAAUUAAGGGUACUCAAUGAGCAUAGGAAGAAGGAUGCAAAAGUUCUUUCACACAUCCAACAAAGUGUGAGUCUAGAUUUCUUUUCAAGAAUUAUGGGAGCCAAUGAUGUCAAGAAAGUAUGAAAGAUUCUACAAAAGGAGUUUUAAGAGAAUCUCAAGUUAAAGAAUGUUACUCAUUAGACUCUUAGAAAAGAUCUUGAAAAUUUGAAGAUGAGAGAUGAUGAAAGUAUUCAAAAUUACUACACAAAAAUCACAACAAUUUUAAAUGAAAUGAAAAUUUUUGGUGAAGAAAUUAGUGAUAGCAGAAUUGUUGAAAAGAUUCUUGUUAGUUUGCCUCCAAAAUUUGAUCCAAUGGUGUCCAUAAUUCAGGAGACGAAAGAUAUUUCCUCAAUGAGUGUUUAAGAGUUGAUGGGAUCUUUGAAAACUCAUGAGAAAAGGUUGGCUAGACAUGUUAAAAAAUCUAUUGAACAUGCUUUCCAAUCAAAAUUGAAUUUCAAGCCCUAGACCAAUGAACGAGAGCCAUCUCGCAACUCACAAAGAAGCAGUAGAUAUGGCCAUGGAAGAGGAAGAUGUAGAAAUUCAACACGAAGAGAAAGAAACAACCUUCAAGAGGCCUUAAUGCUGAAAAUGCACAGCCUUGCAACUAUUGUGUAAGAUCAUUCAUCUUGAGAAAGAUUGUUCGCACAAAAACAAGUUAAAGUAUACUAUUGCAAGAGAUUUGGCCAUAUUGAGAAAGAUUGCAGAUUUAAUACGGAUCACCAAGCAAAUUUUCAGAAGACAAGCAAGAAAAAAGAAACUUAUUCUAUACAUGUCACAUGGCCACCGAAGUAAAGAACAAUGUGUCGUAUCUUGACAUCGUCUGUAGCAAUCAUAUGACAAGAGAUAAAUCCAUUUUUGUUGACUUGGGUGAAUUCAUAAAGACUGAUGUGAAGAUGGGAAAUGGAGUCAUAACCCAAGCACAAGAAUUGGGUACAUUUGGUGUCCAAACCAAACAAGGUACGAAGUUCAUUCAUGAUUUUUAUUUAUUCCUGAUUUAGAUAAAAAAUUAUUGAGUCUUGGAUAGUUUGAUUUACAUAAAUAUGCAUUUAACUUUGAUGAUUAUGAGUGCUGCAUCUAUGACAAAAUGGAUGGUAGACAACUUGUGACGAAAAUUCAAAUGCUAGCCAACCGAAGUUUUCCAAUCAAAUUCAAUUAUAGUGAAAAUCAAGCCUUAAAAGCAUAUGUCAAUGGAGAUUCAUGAUUAUGGCCCAAGAGACUUGGCCAUUUGAAUUUUCAUGGUCUCAAAGUGCUUCAAUAAAAGAGAUGGCAUAUGACUUACCAAGAAUUGAGGAGAAACAUGAAAUUUGUGAAGGUUGUGAAUUUGGCAAACAACACCGGCAACCAUUUCCUAAAGAAGUUGCAUAGUGAGCCAAAAAGAUUUUGGAGCUGGUUCAUACGGAUAUUUGUGGACCUAUGAAGACAACUUCUCAUGGAGGUAACAAAUAUUUCGUCCUUUUCAGUGAUGAUUUUUCAAGAAUGACUUGGGUCUAUUUCAUGAAAAAAAGAAUCUGAGGUGUUUACAACUUUUAAGAAGUUCAAAAGCAUUGUUGAAAAUAGAGUGGCUGUUACAUCAAGAAGUUGAGGAGUGAUCGUGAAUAGAAGUACACCUCAAAUGCAUUUCAAGAAUUUUGAGAAGAUAAAGACUUAAAAAGGCAGCUGACUGUUGGCUACACACCAUAACAAAAUGGAGUCUUGGAAAGAAAGAACCAAGCCGUGAUGGUGAUGGCAAAAUCUAUGUUACAUGACAAAGGCUUGGUAAAAGAAUAUUUGCUCAAUCGAAAUCCUACAGAGGCUGAAUGGAAUCAAACACUAAUUGAAACAUGGAGUGGAAGGAAACCAUUGGUGAAACACUCAGAAAGUCUUUGGAAGUAUUUGCUAUGCUCAAAUUCCAAAAGAAAAGGGGUUCAAGAUUGAGGAAGUAAGUGAAAGUAUUUUUGCUGGUUAUAACUCCAAGUCUAAAGGCUAUAGAUUGUUUAAUUUGAAAACUAACAAAAGCAUCAUUAGUCAAGAUGUUGUAUCUGAUGAAAAUGCUGCUUGGAAUUGGAAUGAGAAAAAGAUUCUGAAGCAUGCUAUUUAUCAUCAUGAAGAAGAUGCAAAUUCAACAAAUGACGAGAAAAUGGUGAUGAUUCAAAACCAACAAGUAAUCCACUAUCAUCUCCAAGUUAAAGUUCGAGUUCUCCGAUCUCAACUCUAAAGAAAAUGAGGAGUUUGAGCGAUGUUUAUGCAAGAUGCAAUUUUUGCAUCCUUGAGCCGGAAAAUUCUGAAGAAGCAUAUGCAGAAAAGGAUUGGAGAAAGGCAAUGAAAGAUGACAUUUAUGCAAUUGAGAAGAACAAGACUUGGAAACUAGUUGAAAAAUCUCAAGACAAGGAGAUCAUUGGUGUCAAGUGGAAUUACAAAGUCAAACUAAAUUUGGAUGGUUCAAUCCAAAAAAAGAAGGUAAGACUUGUUGCUAAGGGUUAUUCACAGCAGCACUAGUUGCAAGAUUUGGCACAAUUAUAGUUCUUAUUGCCAUGGCAACCUGAAAAGGUUGGAAUCUCUACCAACUUGAUAUUAAAUCUACCUUUUUGAAUGCAGAAUUGAAGGAAGAAGUGUAUGUUCAACAACCUCAAGACUUUAUCAAAGAAGGACAAGAAGACAAAGUAUAUAAGUUGAAGAAAGUGUUGUAUGGAGUGAAACAAGUUCCAAGGGUUUGGUAUUGCCAAAUUGAUCCUUAUUUCAAGGAGCGAGGAUUCAAGAAGAGUAAAAGUGAGCCAACCUUGUAUGUGAAAACCCAAGGUAAUUCAAUCAUUCUCAUUGUUGUUUUAUAUGUUGAUGAUUUGCUUUACACCAGUAGCAAUGAAAAGAUGAUUGCUGAUUUUAAAAAAGACGUAAUGAAAAGAUAUGAAAUAAAUGAUAUGGGAUUGUUACAUCAUUUUCUUGGCAUGGAGAUUUGUCAAUAUGAUGAUGGAGCCUUUAUUUGUCAAAAGAAAUAUGUUGAAAAUAUUCCUGUGAAAUUUUGCAUGGCAUGGCUGAUUGUAAACCUAUGGCCACAUCACUUGUCGUAAGCGAAAAAUUUGUCAAAGAAGAUGGUGAAAAAAAAAUGAUUUCACUUUGUAUAGAAGUUUGGUGGGAAAUUUGCUUUAUCUCACAGCUACAAGGCCAGAUAUCAUGUUUGCUUCAAGUUUAUUGUCAAGGUUUAUGCACAAUCCUAGUCAAUUACAUUUUGGAGCAGCCAAAAGUGUGUUAAGAUACAUCAAAAGCACACUAAACUACAGCAUUAAAUUUAGCAAAUGCGAUACUUUAAAUUUGCAUGGUUAUUAUGAUAGUGAUUGGGGUGGAUGCCUUGAUGAUAUGAAGAGCACCUUAGGCUAUUUUUUUCGUUUGGUUCUGGAGUAUUUUCUUGGGCAUUAAAGAAGCAACAAAGUAUGGCACAAUUAUCCACUGAAGCUGAAUGUGUGUCCACAAGUUUGGCAACAGCACAAGUCAUUUGGCAUAGGAGAAUUUUGAAGACAUUGGUGAGAAGCAAAAGGAAGCUACGGUAAUAUUCUAUGACAACAAAUCAACAACUGACAUUGCCAGAAAUCCAAUUUAUCAUAGCAGAACUUGCCAUAUUGCUAUCAAGUACCAUUUUAUUCGAUAUGCAAUUGAAGAUGGUGAAAUUGAGUUGAAAUUUUGCAAGAGUGAAAACUAAGUUGCAGACAUCUUUACCAAGGCACUUCCAAAAAACAAGUUCAACUAUUUUCGAGAGGUGCUUGGAGUUCGAGAACAGCACAUUAAGAAGGGAAUAUGUUAAAUAAUUUGCUGAAUGAAUUCAUUAGUUGGGAAGCUUGAUUAAUUACUUAGUAAGCAAUUCAAAUUAAUGAGAUAGUAGGCAAGAGAAAUCUUCUCUAUGUAUCUAAAAGGUUGGAAAUUAAGAAGGUUGUUGGUCAAUGCGGUUGGAAAUCUUCUCUAUGCAUUUGGAAUGAUUAUUUACAACUAUAAAUUGAUGUUGUAUGGCCCCAAUGCAAUAUACGAGUGAAAGAAAUGAAAGAAAGAAACAAUUGAAACUAGUCUUGUUUCCAAAUAUUCUUAUCAAUUCUUGGCCUAAUAUCCAACAAAUCACCAUUUGUUAGAGUGUUAUUUUGGUGGACACAGAUUAAUCCAUGAAUUGAUUAUAGCAAAAAAAAAUCAUGGACAAAAGAAAUCUGUGGAACUUCUGAUCGUCUAUAUCAAAAAGUGAUCUUAUUUCUUGGAGAGUAGGUUUUGCAGGAGCGAUCAACUCUGCUUCCUUGUGUCUCACUAAAAAUUGCAUUGCCAACUAGGAAGGGGGUUUUGGGUGUUGGGCGGAUCACAAGGGCUGGGGGACGUUAGUAUUGCAAAAUAAUUGAAACUUUUGUGGGUUUGGUACUACUAAGGUUCCGUUUGAUAAAAUUGAAUCUGAAUUCUGAAAUCUGAAUACUGAAACAAUUAAUUUACUGAAUUUUAAGCACUGAAAAGAAAUAUAUGAAUGUCUGAAUUUUAAUGCUGAACCUAUUUAUACUGUUUGAUAAACAUUUAUACUUUAUGCUUAAUAAGUUAAAUUUAACAAUUUCGCCCUUAUAUCUUUUCAUCCAAAAAAGAAAUAGAACCUAUGAUUUAAUUAGCUUAAAAUUUUUAGGCAUGAAAAUGACAAUAUUUAUUUUUAAAUCAAAUUAAUAUAAAAGAUGAAAUAUAUUAUAUGAUGAGUAUGGAGAAGAUAUGAAAGUCAUUAGAAAGGUAGAAAAGAUAAAUAGAAAAUCAUUAGAUAGAGAAUAUUAAGUUGUUUAAUUAGAUAAGAAUUUUGAAUAUAAUUAAUAAACAAGGGUAGAUUUGGUAGAUAAGAUAAGGUGGUUGAAGUAAUUUUAUUGAUUCUUAUCAGAAUUAAGCAUUCAGUUAGGAUUCUUGUGCUGAAAAAAAUACACACAAGUUCAGCACUACUUAACAAAUUCAGCAAAUGUAUUUUCAUUUAUUGAACACUCAAAACAUCUGAAUGUCUGAAAAAAAUUCAGAUUCAGCACUUUUUUAUGUUAUCAAACAGACCCUAAGUCUUGUCAUGUCUUCUCAUAUUCGUACAAAUUUCAAGUGACGGAAGGAAAAUGUACUCUGAAUCCUCUAUCUCAUUUCCGGUUUCAGUCUCUGUCUGACCUUUAUUUUCUUGCCAUUCCUGAGUAUAUUACCCGGUAUAUCCAUUAUAUACUAGAAUAGAGUUGCAAGAGAAAAUUAAACAUGAUAAAAAAAAUCAAGAUAGAGAUUAAAACAAAAAAUCGAACAAUAGAAAAGUGGGGUGACAACCGAAACCAAAAAUGAGAUAGAGCAUUCAAAACUAGGAAAUGGCGCCUGCCCUAUUACUAGUUCUACAUGAGGACUAUGUGCCACGAAUUUCAGCCUAUAGCAAGGGACUAGACAAGAGAACCUAACAGUACUGAUAAUUCACGAUCAUGGCUGGCUGAAAUAUCUUACCAUUAAACACGUUGUCUUGUAAUCUUACGAAUAGUAUGUAUGUUUUGGUGCGAUGCAAUGGUUUGGCAAACCAAAUUUAGACGCAAAAUGUCAGAAUUAAACUCUUUAUGUUUUCAACCAUAAUGGAAAUUGUUGCCAAAUCUUUUAAAACAACUACAUCGAGGACGAAGUGCAGCACUAAUGAAGCUUCUGAAGGCAGCUAAGCCAUCAGUCUACUUAUCCUAAAAGGGCUAAGUAUAUCUUUUUUCCAUCUCAUUGUUGAUGUCACAUUUUUACAUUUUCUAUUGCUUCAAAAAAAGAGUCAUUUCUCCAAAGUCAAAAAAGGUUUUAGUUGAUUCUUAAAUUUUCCAUUCAAAAAAGUAACUUUUCGGAAUUUAAGAAGCAAGGAGGGGGAAGGGAGAUCUACUUUGAAUUAAUUGAUCACAAUUUUCUAUUUAUUUAAAUUCCCAAAUACCACUAUUAUUUCGUGAUGGUAAAAACAAAUGUCCCAUAUGAAAUUACUACUUUGGACGACCUAUACCUAAAAGCCAAUGAAGUUAAACAUUCUCUUUGAAAUAGUCAGUGUUUUCUUUUUCUUUUUUUUUUAAAAAAAAAAUCCCAUAUGCAGGGAAAGGAUGCCACCUCUUAACUUUAUUAGUGACAAUCAUUAGAGAAAAAAAAAAGAGGGACAUAGACCUUACAUCCAGUACAUCAAAGAGACGAGAAUAGAAAUAAGAGCACUAUUCUUUUGCAAUAAAUGAAUGAAGAGUUGGUAAACCAGUAAUAGCUAGUUGAAUGACCAAUACUAAGCCAUUGUUGACCUUUGAUGUCACAAAAAUAUCGUAAAUAAGUAACACGUUAUUUUUAUUAUCAGAUAGACCACUAUUUAUCCUAUGAAUCUAUGCUUAGUUGAUCAGUAGUGGUAUUAAGCACUUUAGUUCAUCAUUAAUAGAAAUAAUUUAGAAGUUUGGACAAUAACAUGAGUAUAUGUUAAACAAAAUUAUUUUACAACUACAACAAAUGCAAAAGAAAAUAAGAAAAUUGCAUUGUAUUAAACAUGAAAAAUAAAGGAAGAAAUGAAAAGAAACUAACUUCGACAAAAGCAUGAACUUUUUUACCUCUCUCUCUUUUUCAAGUGUAAGUGGAUGGUGUCAAAUUCGAUAUCUCUCACUUACACUUCCUCUCUUGUACCACCCAACUCAUCCUAACCCCGAUAAGAGUAUGACCUUGUAAUAAUGUAAAGGGCCAAAAACCUUAGCGACCAUCAAACUAUUGCUUGCAUCGACUUUUGAACAUAAAAUAAUUUUUCAUCACAAAUUAGCCGCUAAACUAAAUAAUUAGUACACUCGUGGCCAUUUCAUUGAUUAUUGCUCUUAAUCUACAAAAUACUUAGAACAUGUGUUCAAAUGCUAGGGCAUAUUGGUCCACUAUGGAUAUUUUUGUUAAAACACGGUUUGAUUAUUUUGUAGAUUAAGAGCAAUAAUCGACGAAAUGAUCACAAAUGUGUGGGCUAUUUAGUUUAAUCAUUAAUUUGUGAUGAAAAAUUAUUUGAUGGUUAAAAGUUUAUGCAGGUAAUAGUUUAAUGGCUGUUGAGAUUUUUUGCUCUAAUUUGAAGAUAAUCAGAACUUGUGAAUUUAUGAGUAAAAAAAUUGAAAAGUCAUAUUAAAGUUAGUAUACAAUAUAAAUUGUUUAAUUUUAACAAUAACUUAAUGGAUAAAAAUAAUGAAAUCUAGCAAGAGAUAUUUUAGAAUUUCUGAGCAAAUUAAAAUUAAACUGUAAAUUUUAAAAAUUGAGAUGACACAAAACUCAUAUUGCAUAAUAUGGGAAUUUUUUAAUCCAAAAAGAGAGCACGAGGGUUAACUAGAAAGAGUGAAAAAAUAGUUGUACAGCUUGCAUCCGAUAAUGUUAGAUGAUGUCGACCCAUUUUUUGACUUAAAAGCCAGACAGUUCAACCAGAUGAUCCAGUCUGAGUUUUAGAACAUUGCAAAUUAGUUACCGGUUGAAAAUGAUUCCAUUCUGUAGAGGCUAUCUCUCUUUCUUUCGAACACUCUCUAUUCCCAUUUAAGAAUUAGAGUCACCGUUGAAGUGGAAAAAUUUUCGCCAUGGUCAUCACCAGAAAUUAGUAAUUGGCCAAAAUCUGCGACAUAGUUACGCUGUUUAUGAUCAAGAUUUAGUUAAUGGUGCACUCAAAGUAUAAAUAUGUUUGAAAGUUUCAGUUUUAUGUUGAAUGUUGAACUAUUAAAAGGUAUUAUAAUGUAUCAUUGUCAGUGUGCUAGAUAUCAACUAGUAUUAUAACGUAUCACUUCUAUCUGUUUAAUCAGUUUCGGAGAUUAAAACACUUAUAUUAGGAGGUUUAUGCAUUUCGUUAGGCUGUAAUGAACCUUAGUGCAUUUUUUAAUUACAUCCCAGUGUGUGAGCCUUACUAAGCUGUUAACCGUAAUUAUAUCAUGUGGAUCAAUGUUUAUAUAGCAAUUCUCAAAAAUAUAGAAAUAAUAAGCAUCUCACUUAUGGAACCUAUUAAUGAAUAGGCAAUAUAGUUGAGAGACUAUUGGCAUGUGAAAUGGACUAGUUUUAAUUUUUUUGGGAAAAUCGUCAAUUUAGUCUCUUAACUUUGUCACUAAUACCGAUUUGAUCCUUCAAAGUUUUUUUAUAUGCAAUUGCUCCUUAUAGAAAAAUGCCUGUGCCAAUAAAGGACCUAUUAGGCAGCACCACCCAAAACAUCUUUUUUUAUCGCCUAGACGGGAGGCCAUUUAGGGGCAUUUUAGGAAGAAGAUAUUGGGGCCUUUUUACUGACGAGAUACCAGAAAAACAGCACCAUUAAAUCUAUGUUUUUAUAUUCGGACCGGGUAUCGACUCGAUCAAGCUCAGGGGUUAGGAGUCAAUGGGUUCGAUCGGGGUCAAUCAGGGUUGAACCGGAUGACGUCAUAAAUAAAAAUUAUUUAAAAAUUAAAAUAUUAUAUGUAAAAUACCUAAGAACGUGUUAAUAUUAAUAAAGAUAUAUUCAUAUAUAUUGAUGUUUCAAAUAUAUUUAACAAAAAAAUAUAAAGAAAUUAAAACAAUCAAGUAGCAAUUUAUAUUAUUUAAUGAACUUUAACAAGUUUAGAAUUAAAAUUAUGAAUUUAAUUGAAAAAUAACACCAAACUUUAAGACAACAUUUAUAAAGUAUGAAAUAUUUAGGUAUAUUAAUAAUUUUUAAUAACCCAGGAGUCAAAACAUAAUAUUAAAAAUACUUUGACUUUUAAAAAAAAACCCGAUUCUCUGAUUUUUUUCUGAUCAAACCCGGUUUUUGACCUGAUUUGAUUGAAUUUUAAUUUUUCGAUUUUUAAGAUUAACUCGGAUCGAACAGUUGGCCGAUUCCCUAUUCGAUCGGUCGAACCGGCAGCUCUAGCCCGAGUUUAAAAACAGAGCAUUAAAUGGAGAAAAUGCCUAGUGGGCCAUAAGAGAGUUGACGUUAUGCUGGUUGCUAUUGAAGAUUUAGGCAAUGCAAAAACCUUUCGGGCGGUUGCAGAAGACGGCGCCAUUCUAGACGAAGGACGUAUGGGCCAAGGAACUUCCAACGAAUAUUAAAUGGCGAGACCCAAUUCUGAAAGUGAUGAGGGGAUCAUACUUGGCUUUCAAGUUUUGAAGGAUGGAUUCUAAUUUUGAAAAGGACUUGCCGAGCUAUGAGAUGUUGCCGAUGAUUGGGAUGGUGGAGGGUCUUGGAGGGAGCUUCUCUUUGGUGUUGUUAGAGGAGGAGGAGGAAUAGGGGGAUACCAUAUUAAAGAGGGAUUUAAGAAUUGCAGAGAUGCAGAGGGAGAUGACGAUGAUAAACAAAUACUUCUCCAUUGUUUUUCCGCCACCAAUACCAGUUCAAGAUUUAAGAUUAGAAUUGGGACAACUUUCUAGUGGUCUGUUUUAUUAGUCUUGUCGUUGAGCGGAGGACAAGACAAAUGGAAAUAGACACCAACGGAAAAUUGUAGCAUCCAGUCCAAUGGCUCUAAUCAAUUCUCUGGCCUAGAGAACAUGAUUAUGCCUAGAGAACAUGACAGUAACUGGACUGAGAUUCCUAACAGCAAUGACGUGACCAACAUAACAAUGCAACAAGCUCAAAACAGAAUUUCGCCUACUAAAACUACCAUACCUCAGUCCUCAUGUUAAAUUUUACGAUGAGUUUGGCCCUCUCUUCUCUCUAAAGCCAACAAUGGUAGAGACAAAGCGGCAGUUGUAUUGCAUACGUUUGUAGGCACGGCGGUGGGGCUUCUUCUUAUCUUGCUUUGCGACCUUGGGAGUUUGACCUCUCACCUUAACGACACAAGCUAAUGAACCGCAAACCUUACUCAUGAUUAGCUAUUGAGUUUGAGCUGUUGAGAGAUCUACUUGGAACUGCUGAUACUGCAAUAAGCAAAAAGAGCAAGGACCGUUUAAUGGUGCUUUUUUAUUAUUAUUAUUAUUAUUGGUAUCUCAUCACUGCAAGGGCCCCAAUAUCUUCUUCCGAAAAUGCCCUAAAUUGCUGCUGGUCUGGAUGAGAAAAAAGAUGUUUGGGGUGGCGCUGCCUAUUAGGUCCUUUAUUAGCAUAGACAUGUUACUUUAAGGACCAAUUCCAUAUGCAAAAACUUUGAAAGAUCAAAUCCGCGUUAGUGAAAAGGUUUAGGAACUAAAUUAGCGAUUUUCUCAUUCUUUUUCUACAGAUGAACAAAAACCAUAUGACUUCCUUUAUGACUUCCUAGAAACAUAGGCUAGGAAUUUAUUAGCACAUGGUAACUUUACUUUUACACUUCGACAUACAUUUCACCAAAGCAAAAGAAAACUACUUUCUUGGUUCCCCACAAAUCCACUAAAGAUACAGCUUCACUAAAAACAAUACAGACUAUACUCUCCUUAAAAGUUAUUCUUGUACCAGAAAACGCCCUUGCCGCCUUCAUCUGGCUCAACAUAAAGACACUCUUUUGCCUCCCUCCACAUUGCUUUGUAGACGGGAGUGCCAUCAAAUUGGUAAUACUCUCCCAGAAUUGGCUUCAUUGCUUCAGUUGCCUCCACUGCAUUAUAAUGUGGCAUUGCUGAAAAGAGAUGAUGAGCCACAUGUGUGUUUGUGAUGUUAUGGAAGACCUUGUUCAAGACACCAUAAUCUCUAUCAAUGGUUGCCAGCGCGCCCCUCAGCCAAUCCCACUCUGACGAAUCAUAGUGCGGCAAUGAAGGGUGAGUGUGGUGCAGAUACGUGAUGAAAACAAUGAUGCCAUUUAGAAUGAGCCACGGUAGCCCGUAGAUGCAUAUAAGCCAGGCUAGCCCUUUUGCCAAUGCUACCCGAUAAAGCAGGUGAGUUGUUACAAUGACACCAACAUCGGAAAUGUAGAUUUGAAGCCUCUCACGAGCAUUAUAGAUUGGACUAUAAGGAUCAUAAUGGCACGCAAAACGAUCAUAUUGUCUGCCUGAAGCAUUGACGGCCAGGUACAAGGGCCAACCCAGCACAAGGGUGAUCGCCAGAGUGAUGACUCUGCCUGGAGGGUUGUUUAGGUACUUGUAGUACCACUCUAUUUCGGACUUUGGCUUCGGCACAAAGACUUCGUCAUGUUCGAUUGAUCCAAUGUUGGAGUGGUGGCGGCGGUGGCUGUGUUUCCACGAGAAGUAGGGGACCAUAAGUGCAGAAUGGAAGAUAAAACCAACGGUGUCAUCCACCCAUUGGUAGUCGCUGAAUGCAUGGUGACCGCAUUCGUGGGCAAUGACCCAAACUCCAAGGAAAACACAGCCCUGAAGAAUCCAGUAAAUAGGCCAGGCAAGGUAGUUGUAUGGAGAAGGAAGGAGAUGGAAAUAAGUUGUAGCAAUGUAGUAGAACAGAAAGACCAAGGUAAGGUCACGAACAAGAUAGGAGAAUGAGCGAAGGAGCGAUCUCUUAAAGCCGUGAGGUGGGAUGGCUUUCAUGAUAUCACGGAUAUUGAACGGAGGCUUCGAGAAUGGGACUCGUUUGAUUGGGUUCUUCUUGCGUCCGGUCUUGGUUGUUGAAGCAAACAACCGGCCUCCGGCUCCCAUUUUUGGUACAAUGCUCUAUCUGUUUGACUCAAGCAGAUCACAUGGACAUUGUGGAUGAAUUUAUAGCAGAAAAGCCUAAAGAUUAAAUAUUUCUUAAGGAUAUUCUUUCUUAAUUAUAAUGGAAGUAAUUCUGUUAUAGUAGUGCAAAAAAAAAGGACACUUUUGAUGGUUUUGUACCUGCUAAGAGUCUUGUUAUGUUUUCUCAUAUUUAUACUAAUCUCGAAUGAAACAAGGAUGAAGUGCUCCAAAUCCUCUAUCCCAUUUCUGAUUUAAAUCUCCAUCUUACUCUCU